UUGAGCACUGUAAAUGAAGUAUUCUUAAGUGUUUCUGGACGCUUCAAACAAAGUGUUCUUAUGUUUUUAAGAUAAAGUUUUAUAUAUCAUAUGAACACUUGAAGCAAAAUAUCAUUAUAUUUUAAAUAUAAAUAUGUCAUGGUUAGUUAUCAAUUUAAGUAUCUCAAUGCAACUUAAAUGAUCCUAGCAAAAAAGAAAAAAACUUGCAAACCCAUGACUAUUCACUUGGCACCCAUGCCAAAUGUCUAGGUGACAUGGAUGUUGGCGUAGACCAGGACAAUGAAGAAUAGGGUUUGUCAUCAAGUAAAACAAAAUGGUUGUGGUGACCGCAAAGGGACAUUUCACAUUUAUUGAAUAUAGUCUGUAGAAACACUAGUCAGUAAAGUUAUCUAUUGAAAGCUAAAUAGAUGAAAGUACAAAUUAAUUGGCAAUUUUGUCCUGAAACAUUUUGUAUCAAAGAAAAAGGAAGCAAUGACCCCUGAAUUUUGGUGAAUGUGUUCCUUUACUUUGAUGCAUGUUUAGGUGAAGCAAAUGGGCAAGCUGGGGUUGGGAAAUGAAAUAUACAAAGAAGGUUUGAAGCAAGGUCCGCCGAACUGGUAUCGGAACUCAUAUUGGUCGGCAAACGGUUCGGUACGGUAGGGCGUGCCGGUACGGCCAAAUUGGUAUCGGAAUCCGUACCGGUCGGCGGACGGUUUGGUACGGUAGGGCAUGCCGGUUCCGUACCAGCAUGCCCAUUUUUUGUGGAGUAUAUUAAGUUGAUUUAAUUGGUAGUCACUCUUUUUGAACUUUUUCAAUAAUUUUAAGUCUAAUUUGAUUUUUUUUUGAUGUUUCUAUGAUUUUGUUUUAACCUAAAUGAUGCAUUUUAUUAUUUUAAAAUGAUAUAAAUCAUAAAAUGAUUAGUAAAAUAUUGCAUGCUACAAGGAGCAACAUGAAAUAUCCUCAAAUCAAGUAAUGAGGUAAAAUUAUAAAAUAAUACAAUAAUUACAUACAUUUAAAGUACAACAUACAUACCGAUAUCUAAAAUCAGGUCGAAUGGCGAUGCCUCUCGUAGAUAUCCGGAUUAUUACUAUAGUUAGGAGGCCCAUUAACUCAUUCCUCUAACCAAGCGACGUUGUAGUCUUGUAUGUACAUCCUACAAUGAAUGCGCUCCGGGUUAUAAGCACUCUCAGAUAUCUCAAUGAAGCUCUAGCUCUAACACUCUCGGAUUGCAUAAUAAAGGACACCGCUCAGAGCUAGAGCUUCAGCGAGAGAUUCGAGAGUGUUUAUAAUCCAGAGCACGUUUAUUAUGGAAUGUACAUAGAAAACUAUAACACCGCUUGGUUAGAGGGGUGGGCUGGUGUGCCUCCUGAUGAUGUUGAUGAUUCGGAUAUCUACGAGAGGCAUCGCCACUCGAUUUGAUUUUACAUAUCGGUAUGUAUGUUGUACUUUAAAUGUAUGUAAUUAAUUAUAUUAUUUUAUAAUUUUUACCUCACUACUUGAUUUGAGGAUAUUUCAUGUUGCUCCUUAUAGCUUAUAACAUCUCACUAAUCAUUUUAUGAUUUGUAUCAUUUUAAAAUAAUUAGAUGCAUCAUUUAGGUUAAAUCGGGAUCAUAGAAACAUCAAAAAGCAUCAAAUUAGACUUAAAAUUAUUGAAAAAGUUCAAAAAAAGUGAUUACUAAUUAAAUCAACUCGAAAUACUCUAAAAAAAAAAAUUGGGCCUGUCGGUACGGAACCGGCACGCUCUACCGUACCAUGUGUCGGUAUGGUAUCGAACCGGUACCGUACUGAACCGUCCGCUGACCAGUAUGGGUCCUGAUACCGGUUUGGCGGACCUUGGUUCAGGCAGCAUGAGUCUUUUGAUAUUUCUUCCCAUGAUUUAGAAUAUGAAACCUUAGGGAGUGUUAACAAAAUAAUAAAGUCCUGAUUUUUGAUAUGGUUGAAACAUAUGAAGGUAUUUUGAAAGCCUAAGUUGAGAUAACAUGGAAAUCAUCUUUUGAUGUAUAUGGAUGUUUCUAUGUAUGUGUGUCUGUUUUCUUGUUCUUUUAUAACCAAAAGAUGUAGUUAUUCAGGAGUUCAGGUUUCUAAUUUAUAUCAUACAUUUAUACUUGAGGAAAAGGUAAAAUAAAAAAAAGGUUUUUAUUUGUACACACACAGUAUGAUUGUUCAGUAAAAAGUACCCUCAAAUUGGACACAUGAGGAUGAACCUCAUAAACAUGAUCAUUGUAUGCAUCAUUGUAUCUAUAAUUCAUGUAUUAAGUAUUUGAUUGUACCUUUUGGAACCUUAUCAUGCCCCUUCAAUCGCAAUAUCUUCAUAAUAGAAUUAGUUGCUAGGAUCAAGAGUGGGGGUGAGUGUAGGGAAGAAGAUAUUUUAGAAACAAUUGAAGUAAGAAGCACUUAGAAAGUGCAUGUAAGCUCAAGAUUCCAGGAUGAUUGUCAAGUGAGUGUCCUAAUCUAGAUGGAAGAUUCCAGCUACUAAGUAGAGAUUUAUAUAUCUUUUGUAAAUGAUAUUUCUUAACCAUAUCUUUAGAUCAUUUUUACUUGAUUCAUUGAUUUGCUUAAUUUGGAUUUGACUUCAUAAUUUGUAAUCACUGUUAUUAUGAAGUAUUUUUUCUCCUCAAAGUAGGAUGGGAAAAUUCAAUUUUUUGUCAACCUAUAUAAUUAUAUGUCAGAUUUUUUAUUUUAAUUGCUUGAGAUAAAAAUGAGAUAAAUCAUGUAGUAGUAGUUUUCAAGGAGUUAGGAGCUACAUAAGGAAAUUUUACUACAUAUAUGAAUUAAUUGAACAUUUUUUACAGAAGUAAUCAAACAAUUUUCAUACCAUAGUGAAUUAGUUAACUAUGGUUUAGACUUUAGACCAUGAGAUUUGCAUGCUUCGAGAUGUAAACUUGGGGGCAUGAAUGCGCAUUAGACUUGUGGUGUGGACACGUGCAUAGGGAAUUACAUGUAUGCUUGUGUAAGCUAUUAAUGUUAAUAAUUGUGCAUUAGGGCCUAGGUUAGAGAAUUAUUGGUCAAGUAAACUAGUAUUAGGAAAAUUUGUACAUUAGGGCUUAAAGCAAAGUUUUAAAUCUUGUGGGAUGGGGCUGUCUCGGUUUUCCCAUGGAAUGGGACGUGCCGUUGUCUCAUCCCAUCUCGACAGUUGGGACAGGGGAUGUCCUAAGAUGUACCGAUCAAAAAGGUGGGACAAUGGUGGGACGGUCCUAUCUGGGCAUAUGGGAUGGUAUCCCAUCUCAAUGUCCGUCGGGACAUCCUGUCAGGACUUGAAUCCUUGGCUUAGAGAACUAUCAGUUAUUAUAUACUUUUCAGCUUGUUGUUUGAUGGGCAUCAUGUGCUAUACUCCCAUUUUGCUUAAGAUGCAAAUUAGUAGGAUGUUUUGCAAGUUAUGCACUUUUGAUGUAUCAUGGCUGUUGUGUCAAAUCGAAAAUAAAUGUCUGAUAGCAAGUUGAUCGGUUAAUUCAAUAAGAAAAAAAUGGGAGUUAGUACUGUCAAAGGUCUAAAUAGAUAAUUAUGCACUUCUGAUUUUAUUCACAGAAUGGAACUUUGUGUAGGAAUUUUCAUCUUUGCCUAACUACUAAAUGCUUUUUGAUUUUGAUUUAUAUAAGUAUUUGGAGGCUAAAUCGCUAAUGAGUGCAUAGUUUUUUAUUUUUAAUGAGAAUCUUAUGUUAUGUUAAAUUAGAAUGCUGAUACUUGGCUGAUCCUUGUUACAAUCAUUUUGUGAAACAUAUAUAGGCCACUAUAUUACAUUGUUGCAAAUUUAUGUUUUGAUCUUGCUUUCAUUAUUGUAUUUGCUGGGGCAUAAUCAGCAUGGUGGUUCCACUAAUGCUUUUACGUCUUCCGAGCACACAAACUUUUAUUUCGAUAUCAAUGCGGACUGCUUUGAGGAGGCUUUAGAUAGGUAAAAAACUAUUUUAGUUUUUUCAAUCAUUACUUGGCUUUAUUCUUUUUGUCAUUUGUAACCUUUUACUUUUUUUUUUUUGCAUUCUGUUCUUCAUUCAGAUUUGCUCAGUUCUUCGUUAGGCCUUUGAUGUCUCCUGAUGCUACACUUAGGGAAAUAAAAGCUGUCGACUCUGGUAAAGUGAUGCUGUGGCUAGUACCACUUAUUUUUGUUCAUAUAUUUUUUUGAAAUUCCUAUUGAGUUAAUCAUUAUGACAUUUCCCUUUCAUUAUGUCAAAUGCAGAGAAUCAGAAGAAUCUAUUGUCUGAUGCUUGGCGAAUGUCUCAGGUAUUUUUUUUCCCCUUCUUUCUGAGCAAUAAAUCUUGUGUGACCCUUGGUUGAAGCUGGGAAUGUAAUGUUAAUAUGUUAUUUUGAAAAUGAUCAAUGAUAAAUAGAAAUAAUAGUCAGACUUGUGCAUGCCUCUACAACUCAUUCUUAUAUGACGUACAAUCAGUCAUUUUUUCCCUUUUCCCCUCAUGGAGAUGCAUUUUUUUACCUGUUUUAUGUAUGAUAGUAUCUAAUUAGCAUUAGUUGUUAAGUCAUAGUUUAAGACUGUGUUGUUAAAUUAGAUAUAUAGAUGUUAGAAAAUAAUGUCUGUUUAUCUAACACAACUUUUGUUAUCUUAGGAAAAAUAUUUUUUAAAAAUUUAAUAUUUUAUUAGAAAAUUAUUUUUCAUAAUUUUAUUUAGUUCUCAAAAUAAUAUUACUUGGUAAUUGUUUAGGAAAAAUAUUCAUAAUAUUAUUACUUUAUUAUAAAGAUAAUUUUAUAUUUUUAUUAAUUCUAAAAUUGAUUUUUUGGGGGGUUUUGUAGAUUUUAGUAACAUACAUGGUUUUAAAUAUCAUGAGAGUAGGUCAUCAUAUGUACUGACACUCAAUUCGGAGGUUUUAAAAACCUUAUUGGUGGUACUACUGGCAUUUGGCCAGAUCGGUAUAGUCCAUCCCAUUCCAACACACGAUAUGGGGCUCCAUCCUAAUAUUGUACCAAUCAUGGUCUGCUGUGCCAGUAUCGGGCACCGUACCGGUUGCCCGACCGUAUGAGUUGGUACGGUCCUGCGCCGUACCGUGCCGGGCUCGUACCGACAUAGCAGAGGCAGGGGAGAGAGGAAAAGAGAGAGAGAAGGGGGAGACAGGGAGGGAGGAGGCCGGCGGAGGUCGGAGGCUGUGGCUGGGUCCUUGUUUCGUUCGAAAUAGGGGUCCGACCACUAAAAAAAAUGGUGAUUUUUAAGUAAAUUUGGCAAAUCGAUUGCCGACUUCACUUAAAUAUUGCAAAAUUAAAAAAAUAUUUUAAAAAAAUUAAGUGAAGUCGGCAAUGGGUUUGCCGACUUCAACUUAAAAUCUGCAAAAAUAAAAGGAGCCCCCUCUGGGCCCCUAUUUUGAACGAAACAGGGGACCGGAGGCGGAGCCCCACCUCCGCGUCUCCCGUCUCCCUGGCCUCUGCCUCCUCCGCAUGGAGGCUCCCCGGCCUCAGGCCAACCUCUUUUCCUUCCUCUCCCUCUCCCUCUCCCUCCCUCUCCGCUCUCUCUUUUCCUCCUUUUUUCUCUUCUUCUCCCUCUCCGGUGACGGCGUCUCAGUUUGGUUGCCGGAACUGUUUUAGUUCGCUGCCGGUACCACUCGGAAUGUUUCGAACUGGGCAGUUUGGGAUGGUUCCGCCGACCAUAGUACCAAUGGAAGAAGUCUAUUUUUUUAUUUUUGCCUUAUCUUUAUUUUUUUAUGUUCUAUGUAUGAUUAGGCUUUUGGAUUGAUUUUCUUCUCUAUAUUAGUGAUUUAGUUGCAUUUUCAAGGGGUUUGAUGCAGGAGUGUUAAUAUUGGUAUCGACACUUGUUGAGUCAACAUGGAUCAAUAUAAACUAACAAGAUUUAUAAAUAAAAAAUAACAAAUAUAGUAUAGUAUUGCCAAAAAAAUUGAAUAAUAGCUUACUUUAUAAAUUCAAUCCCAUUUAGAGUGUCUAUGACCGUUGUAGAUAUUUAGGUUUUGUUUGUAAUUCAGAUCUUGGAAAUUAUAAUGGCAUGGAUACCGUCUCGAUCCUUGCCAGUCAUAUGUUGUUUGAUAGUGAUCCGGUUGUCAUUCCUAUUACUACAACUAUAUGUAUGUGUGUAAUCAUAGGAGCCCAACCAUCGUUGCUCAAGAUACCAAGAGGCAACACGGAACUCUAACCCUUGGCUAUACCCAUAUCAUAGGAGGGGUGAUGUACAAAGUCGAACCCCAUCGGAAUAAGUUGAGUGGUAGAUGUAUAUCGAUCUUACGUGGAUGGGCAUAUUGUCCACAAUGGCAACUAAUGCAUUAGGAGAUCCACCUAUGGCAUAUAAUGAGAUUUGCUCUCCACUUUGAUGCAAUAGCUCUCCAUAUGUCCUUUUUGUUUGUCCUUUACAAGUGUGGUCAAUCUUCUGCCACUUUGAAUCUCAGUUGGAAAAGACGUGGAUCUACACCGUGAACGGUGGCCCUUGCUGGUAUGUCUUUGAACUUCUUCCCCUUCUUACUGCUAAAGGUUCCAAACAUAGAGGUUAUUCGGUCGUUGCUUCUAUCGGUAACUUUUCUGACUGAUGAGGUUCUCCUGUAGGCUGGAUCUGUCUUGAUGGACAUGGGAAUAGCACCCCUCUUGUACUAUGAGAGCCCAAAUUGAGCCUUGUGCUUGGCAACCUUCUCCCUUUGUCAGUGUUUAUCAAGCUCUCCCUUAUGGUAGCAUAAAAUUUUUGUUUUCUCCAUUGCAUUUGGAUUCAACGCCUCAUAGUUCUAAGGGUUUCUAGAACGGUAUGAAGGUGGCUCAAUCGCCCGACAUUCACUUUCUGCCUUUUUCUUGGCACUUCUUCGCUUGUUUGCGUUAAAAUUAGCAAAGUGUGUUUUCAUCAAUUAGCGGACUUUCUACAGGUAUUUCCUAAAUUUGACAUGUCAGGGUAACUAUUGGCAAAUGUUGCUUCAACCUAGUCACCGCUCCCUUCUUAAGCUCCACAUUGCACCACUUGCACUUUUAGCAAUGCCGAUCCUAAAACAUCACACUAUGAUCUCGCAACCGUCUCUUCAAUUGGGUCAAGCCUGCUAUCGAACCCCCUAGACCCCAAGCCAGUCAGUUUGACUAGAGCAGGAACACUCUGUCUUCUUUCUUGGAUCCAUUUUUGCAAGUUUGACGAACACAUAUCAUGCAUUCGUAAUUACUUAAAAAUUAGUGAAUUUACAUUGGAAUGCAAAAAGUCACUGAAUUACUUGAGAGAAUGCUUCUACAUUAUCUAUACAUAAUAAUUUUUUUAUUUUUAUUUUUUUAUUUUUCAAACAAUAAAUUGAUAUUUAGUUGUAAAAUAUCAAGAAAUUUAAUUUUAAUUUGGAUUAGUGUAGCACUCUACAAAGGGUGCUGCAUAUACUUUUGUCAGCCCAUGGCCACUUAUUUUCAAAAUUUAUUUAAUUUUGGGCUUAGGUUUGUGUAGUCCAAAUUUAAAUAAAUUGCCAUCGAGUAGAGAUACCAAGUAGCAUGCAUACCUCCAAACAUGCUACCAAUUUUACAGAAUUUUUUGAACAUAAGUUUAUUUUAUUUUUGUUGUUUUUAAUCCAAAAAAAAAUUGUAAUAUAAAAAAAUAUAUGAUUAACAAAAAAUUAUGAUUUUUGUGUCAUUGCUUAGGUCAUCCUUAGUUCUAUAACAUAUCAUGAAAUCAUACCAAAAUACAAAAAAAUGGGCAUGAUUUUUCCUCAUUUUCCGCAUUUUUGACAUAUUUUAGACCUCAAAAAUAAGAAAGAGGAAUGAGGAAGAGGGAAGGAGAGAGGGAUCAUAUCUUGAUUUUUGCUUGAAUUUGGCAAGAAUUCACUGUUUUCUCCUUUUCUCACAGAAUUUUUAAAAAAUAGAGAGGAAGAGGCAGAGAAGGCUGAAUUCACUGUUUUCUCCUUUUCUCACGGAAUUUUAAAAAAAUAGAGAAAGCACGGGAAGCCUUCUCUGCCUUCCCCUCUUGUUAUUAGGGCAGGAUGGCUGGUCUAACCAUCCUAACCACCACGAUUUGAGUUGAACCGCGAGUGGUUCAGGUCGAUUUAGGGCCUGAACCCUCUUUCAUCCUGGUUUCGACUUAGUAUGGGUUGGUACACCCUGAACCAGGUGGUUCAGGAUGAGAUGGCAGACCUUGCGUGAAACACACUCAUGUGCACAUAUAUGUAUAUAACUAUGUUUUUUAUGCAUAUAAAUGGUCAUACAUCUAUUAGUACAUGCAGACUUUGACAAAUGCCCCUUAAAUGUAGAGGGUGGCGGGGGGAUGAAUUGGCUAAUCUAGGAGCUUCAGAUGAAAGCUGUUUCAGUAAUUGGUGGGCCUCAGGCCUUCUUUGUUCUAAAAAAAAGAGAUGAAAUUAGGUCCUUCCUCUUUCUUAAUAUUGACUGUAUUGAGUCAUAGUUUGUUGUCAUUCUGAUAUAUGUUUUGGCUCUUUGAUUUAUGGCCGAAUGCAUUAAUCAUCAGUGAUUUCUUUACCUUAGUUUGGGGGCCACUUGUUUGCUAUUAGAAUGCCAAUCAAAUUUUGCUUUGGGAGAGUCAGUCAUUCCUUUUCACAUCAGUUUUCUUUCCUGGUCUUUUAUCAAUCUUCUUCCCUUACCUAGAACCUGACACAUAAUGAAUAUGCACAUUUUCUGCUUGGAUUUAAUUAUUGUUUCUUAAUGUCAAUAUUUUCAGCUACAAAAACAUCUAUGUUCAAAGGAUCAUCCAUAUCAUAGAUUCAGUACAGGUGAGCAUUUUGAUGUUUUCAGCUAGAUUUGCUAGUCCUAUGUGUUUAUGAAAUAGUCGCAAAUAGUCUCCAUUUUUUUAUUGGUCUAUUUCCCCCAUUUAGGAAUGCUUUACAUGUACUCUGCUGUUUUAGUAUGAUAAUUGCUAUCUUCUUAGGUCACAUUGAAGGUCCGCCGUACCGACGUACCGGUGGGCGCCGGUACCGGUUUGGCUGGUUCGGGCCAAAAGCCAAAAAAUAUUUGGAGCCGGUACGGGCCGGUCGGUUCGGGCGAGUACCGGGUCAGUUCGGGCUGGUACCGGUUCGGUACAGUACGUACCGGUUCGGUACGGGCCGGUACGUACCAGUACUGACCGGUAUGGGUUGCGAAUGGUCGGAACCGAAAAAUUUAGCUAUACCGUACCGGCCCAUACCGACCGGUACGGCAGACCAUGAGUCACAUUUAGUUGCUUGCUUGCUAAUAAACUUGUUCAAGUUGUUGAUACAUUUAAAUCUAUUGUUUUAUAUUUAAUGGUUUAUUAUCAAAACUAAAAUGAUAAAAUACUAAAGAACUAAGUACUAACCCUAGUUUCUUGUGUAGAUGCCCCCAUUUUCACGAACUUGUAAUUUGGGAAAUUGUUUUGCCCGCAUGCAUUGAUUUUUCCAUAAAUUUUAACUGGGUUUGGCUAUCAUACUUCUUUAAUAUAUUUUUGUUAAAAACUAAGAAAGAAUCUGGAUCUUUCAUUUUACGAGAGUGUUUUGGAAUUUAACAAACAACCAGUGGUCAACUGCUACUCUUAAUUCCCUUCUAUUUUAUUAAAGCUGACAUAUCGUCAGACUAGGGAUGCCUAGAAUAAGCCACGUGUCUUUGAAAAAAUUUAAAAAAAGAAGAAAAGGCCUUUCUUCUCUGCCACUUCUUCUUCCCCAUCUUUCUUUCCAAGAUGUUUCCCUGUCGACCGCAUCCCAUGGAAGACAUGGCUCUUCACGGCUGUUGUCACCACCAUACACGAUGCUGCUGUCAAUGUGGCCUCCUUGCCAUCACUGACUGCAAGGCCCUGCCUAGUCUUGUCCCCAUCGCACCACCUAAGAUGAUAUUAUCAAUCCGGUCCACGAUGCUUUGAUCUGCUUAUUCUCUCCCACUAGUUGUCUCCAUCUGACCCUCCUGGUGAUAUAUUUCCACAGCAACUUCAUCUUCUACUCCACCGCCUUCCGCUCCUUCAAUGUCCUCUACUACCAUCUUGCCCAGAAUUUCUAGGCAUCGGUGCAAUGAUAGAAUUGUCAUCCUCCAAUGCCUAAAUGCAGGUGAUCUUAUCCCCAACACUGUCAGCUUUUUCACCAACAACAACAUUGGCCAAAAUACCCUAGAUUGCGCAAGAAGAAGAGAAGGAUGCAAGGGGAAAGAAGAUGGAAAAAAGACACUACAAAUUUUACCCUUGAGCUCCAACAUUCUUCAUGUAUCUGCUUUGUGUACAUAUUCAAAUGGGCUUUUACUGGUAGCUGGUCGGUAAAUCCUGACAGUUACUUGUAAAGAUACACGUUCAACAAAGCGUACAGCAUUCCAGGAGCAGCUGGCAAAGCCCAUUUAAACUUAUGCUAUUGUCUUCUGGAAAUGUGGACCUGAUUAGCUGACACUCAUUGCCUUGGAAUUUUUCCUUACUUCGUGAUCCAUGAUUGCUGCAACUUUGGAGCAUUUAAUACUGGAGAUUGAAAGUGUAAGGCAUUUUGUGUGUUAGGAGAUAACAUGUUGAAUUUACCAACAUGCUUCAGUUUUUCUUCUUUCUUUUUUUCUCUUUGAUGUUUCAAUUAUGUAUGAACUGGUCUUUUAUUGAUGUCCUAUCUUGUAUAAUGUAUUAUCAUUUUCUAUAUAAUACUAUAUAAAUUACAUAUUGAUUUUUUUGAACAGUCCUAUAUCUAUUUGGGGAAGGGGGGGGGGGGGGGGGGGGCAGAAUUUUUGCUUCAUUGAUAAAUUUAUAAAUUGGUGAUCCAUCUUCAGUGGACCAAGCAUCUUUUAUUUUGAUGAGAAAUGCAUACUGCUGCAAUAUAAAGUAUGUUCAUUUACAUAUAUGACAUGAUGAGAAUUCUUGAUUAUUUCAGUCAAUCACAGUUAAUUUUAAUGACAGAUGCUCAGAUAGUCUCGGUUCUCAAGCCAGGAAAGCUGGUGUAUUAUCUCCAAUUAUUUAUAUUCUGAUGUUUUAGGAAAUUGGGAAACAUUGGAGGUUAAACCAAAAUCCAAAGGCUUAGACACAAGGCUUGAACUAAUUAAAUUUUACGAAGAGAGCUAUUCAGCAAACCUUAUGCACCUUGUUGUAUAUGGAAGAGGUAGGGUGCUGCUUUAAAUUGUCUACCAGAGUCUUUAAUCUUCUUCUUUUUAAUUUAUUCCUGACCACUCUAAUUGGAUAUUUUAGAGGGCCUCAAUGAUAUUCAAAAACUGGUUGAAAGGAAGUUCUGUGAUAUUCGAAACACUGGACGGGACUGCUUCCAUUUUCUUGGUCAGCCUUGCUCAUUAGAACAUCUUCAGGUAUGUUGGACAUGCAUCAUUGAAAUUAACCCAAGGGACGACAAAAUUUAGAUGGCAGCACAAUACUAUGCUUUUGAUAAUAAGAUUGAAGAUCAAAAUAGCAUUUUGAUGCACAAACAUUUUCUUAUGAGCUCAUUCUUGUUAGUUUGUGACAGAUUCUUGUUAAAGCAGUCCCAAUAAAGGAAGGUCACACAUUGAGGAUUACAUGGCCAAUUACUCCUAGCAUACGGUAUUACAAAGAAGGUCCUUGCAGGUACCUUGGUCACCUUAUCGGGCAUGAAGGCGAGGGUUCUCUCUUUUACAUUUUGAAACAGUUAGGUAACUUCAGUUCCUAAUGGUUUAUACUGUAUUUGUAUUUCAAGUCAAUAUUUCUGUAGGAUAUGUUGCUAUUAGUUGGUUCCUUGGUUUUGUUAGAUCUGAUUUUGUUUUUAAAUUGUAUCUCCUGACUUUUCUGAUGUUGACCUUAGGUUUUAUUAAUCUUGUCUGGCCUUGAUUUUAGUCCAGUUUUCUUCACAUUGUAAUUAUGUGUAUUAAUACAGCUUAAACUUGUCUGGCCUUCAACAUUUUAGUCAGACAGGUAAUUUCAAAAAUAAGUAACCAAUAGUUUUUUUUUAAUGAAAGUGGAUACGCAAAAACUUACCGACCUCUCCGAUUAUUCAGAACUAGCUCUCCAGUCUAGGAGAGUGGUUAUGUUGUUUUCCACUAUUUGAAGGUUUGAACAAACAGGAAGCAAGUAGACUAGUAAUAGUUGGACAAACAUUUACUAAAUUCAGAAUUAUUCUUAUGAAUAUCAUUUAAGUAGAUAUCUUAUUUAUUUGAGAUAUCACAAGUAAAUAGCGGACAAUCCCUUGUCCGAAUUGAAUAAAAAUACUAAAAGAAUCAAAUCUUUAAGAAUAAAAGUUGAUUUCUGAGCUCUAGUUCAAAUUCUAGAUUUUGGGUUGAUUCAAAUUUCAACUUUUAAAUGCUAAGGUAUUUCUCAAACCUCAAAGGCUCAUAAAUUUUAUUUUACCCAAACAUUGCUAAAAUGAAAAUCUGGUAGGAAAACUUAUUAAUCUUAAUCUCCAAAGCUUCUGAUCUAAAAUGAUAGUAAGCAACACUUAAUGCUUAAAGUAUUUAACACAUUUAUGUAUAUAUUAAUAUUAAAGUAUUUAACACAUUUAUGUAUAUAUUAAUAUUAAACUAUUUAACACAUUUAUGUAUAUAUUUCUCUAUAUAUGUUGUAGGUUAUUACAUUUUAUGUGUUAAUGCACACAGUUUUCUUUUAGUGUAGUUUUGAUUACACGUUAUGUGAAGUUAUGUAAUUUAGCAAUAAAAAAAAUUCAGUGCAGGUUGAGCAGGGUAUUAGGUCAAUUGAAUUGCCAUAUUUAUGCAUAUAGCAUAGCAUUAAAAUAAGAAAACACAAAAAAGAAGAACAGAAACAUAUUGGGAGGCCAAAAUAGUUAGCACCAAGGGCAUACCUGCUAUUCGCAAGCAUACGAUUGAUGCCUUUUCUUGAUAUGACGUGUGAUAUGGUGCAUAUUUUUCUGGCUGGCCAUCGAUAUGCCCCUGUACAAUUAUAUUGAAUCCUUGCAGAUGACAUCACCAUUUGGUUUAUAUUACAAAUUCUAGAUUCAACAUCACCUAAGUUCCUAAAUCCUAACUUUGCCACUAUCAUGAUCAAACAAGGUGUGACAUAUACUGUUAUUUGCAAAUCUUUUAUGUUGUAAUGUUUUUGUCUCAUAUCUGUAACACUUAAUUUUCCACAAGAAAACCUACAAUGAAUUAUUUAAGUAUGUCUCUAUUUACUCUAAAGUUAUUCUCCUUUAUUUUCUUAUAAAUCUUCUUUUUCUGAUUGAGUCGUUUCAUACUGUUUAUUGUUUGACCUGGAAAUGAAACAAAUCUAUCUUAUUCUGAACCAUUUAUGUCCACAUCCCUACACGUUUACUGAAACCAAAAUAUCUGACAUUGGUUUUAACUUUUAAGUUACUUUUCUUUGGUCCGAAUUCACACUGAUAAAUCAUAUUGCCAUUCAUUUUUUGAUAUGUUUUUUUCCUGUUUGAUGCUUACUUUUGUUUUAUACUAGAAGGGAAAUUCAUAUUUCAGUUAAUACAUUUCUAAAUUGUUAUAUCGGUGAAGCUUUUGUCAAUUAUCAUUAGGAUAUGAUUUCUCAUCUCACAUACAAACUUCCAUUGUUAUUUGCUAGUGUAUAUCCUAUUGAAAAGCAACUACUGUUAGACUUCCCUUUGUUAGUAUAUAUUGAUCAAAGCUUCUCUAAUUUGGAUCAUGAGAAUGUUGUCGAUUAGUAAAUGAGCGCUCUAUAUAAGUCUUAUUUUAAAUUCUGCUAGAUCAAAAUUGCUAUUCUUGGUCAUCUUUUUAGAGACUUCUUCUUUUCUGCAUCCCAUACUGUAUAAUAUGAGGGUAGUUGCUGAUAUAUGCAGGAUGGGCUAUAAGUCUGGGAGCUGGGGAAGGGGAUUGGAGUCUUGAGUUUUCCUUUUUCUCUGUGUCUAUUGUACUCACUGAUGCAGGUCAUGGUUAGUUUCUAUUCUGAUUUUUAAAAAUCCAUGAAUUAUAUUCUGGGCCUUUCAUAUGUUCAUUAUUAACUUUUGGUAUCUCUGGAAAUUAUUGCCCUACGAUAUUAUAUAUUCUAAUCAUGGAUCAUUUAAAUGGAUGACAGAGCAUAUAGAAGAUAUUGUUGGAUUAUUGUUCAGAUAUAUUCUCCUCUUACAGAAUUCUGGAGUCAUGAAAUGGAUUUUUGAUGAGGUAAUUAGGAUCUCAUCCUCCACAUAUAAAAUUAUUUUGUGUAGUUAUUAAUUUUUUUUAUAUUUGAGAAUAGCUUCCUUCAUCGAGCAGAUCAAUUGGUAUUCUGUGUAUAAAGCAAUUGAAUUUUUUAAAACAGAUCAUUGAUCUGUAUUUAAUGGGAAAAAUAUAAGAAAUAAUCAAAAGUUUCUGAUUUCUAAUCUAAUGUCCACCUGUGUUUCAUCAUUCACUAAUUUGAUGGAGGUUUUGGUUUGAGAAAUUCACGCCCAUUCUAUGGUUGAGUUGGUUUUAUUUUUGCUGUUCCCAUUGUGAAAACUGUUGAUUGGUUCCUUACUGCCAGCCAGCACAUACGUAUCUGAAUUGGUCGCCUGUGCAGGUGUGAGUUUGAAUGUUAGACAAAAAAUGUUUAAUAAUAUGGAAUAACUUAUGGAAUUAUUUAAAAACGUGUCCAAAUUCAUUAACUGAUCUUUGGUGAAAGUUUUGUGAUGCUCAAAGAGCCACAUUUAUUAAACUUUAGGUGUUAUUGAAUUAGAUGAAGUCAAUAAAGAUAUCAUCAGUUAAUGGCUGUCCAAAACAAAAUAGAGGUCAAGCAAUCUUACUCUUCUAGCUAAUGAUGGUUCUCAGUUAGCAUUGUGAACCAGCCUUCAAGAGAAAGGCCAUCAAUUUUUGAUAGGUUUCUUAUUUUAGGAUCCUAAUUUUAAUUUGAUUUAGGAUAGGAGAUUAGUUUAGGAGUCCAAGUCCACUAGGAAUUUGCUACAUCAUGUUUCCUAUUUUGCUUUUCCUUAUUCUUUUAAGACAAUUAAUUAUAAAUCUAUAAAUAUGCAGUGUCCUAGUGGCCAUCUGAAGAAGAAAUCAGUAUAAUGAAAUUGCCCUAAGGGCUUUUGGAGGUCUCUAUCCUCUCAAAGUGAUCGAAUGUCCCUUCUUUUCCACUUUUUUUUUUAUGUUCAUAUUUCUGCGCAAAAUAUCAUUUCUAGAAACUUGGGGUCCUAUCAGCUUGGCAUUAGACCAUCUUUCUUGGUGCAUGACCUUCACGAGAAAUCAGAAGGAAAAAACUCGACAUUACAGAUUCGGAACCCUACAACAUGGCUACAGAAAGUUCAACUCCAUGAACAAACGGGGGAACAAGAGAAUCGCGAUAGGAUGCAAAAUUUGAAGCAAGAUUGGCGGCCAAGUUUGAUUAAUUCUGGAAGUAAUCAAUUUAAUAAAUUUAGCCUAGAGGCUUUUGGAGGCUCUGAUCCCCUUGAAGUGAUCGAAUAUCUUUUGUUCAACCUAUUGUCUCUAUUAUUUCUAUUUUCUUACUUGAAAUAUCAUCGAUAGGAACUGGAUUGCUUUCAAUUUUUCAUCAUGAACUCACUAGCUGGAAUGUUCUACUUGUGGUGGCACAAUUAAUCUCUUGUUUCUUUGCUGCUUUAGCACUUACUCCAUGCAUCUCCGAAUUUCAAGUCCUUUUUGACCAAGCAUCAUGAUAAACCAUAUAAUGAUCUUUUUACUGUUUAUUGUUUCAUCAGUAUUAUUGAUAUAUGAUGUUUCCUUUUUUAUAUUCAACUAUUAAAUUUACUUUUGAGGAAGCACCAAGUGAAUCUUGUUUUUCCGUAAUGCAACUGGGAUGUAUUGGAAGCAAGUUGGAUGAAAUGGAGAAAUGCAACUGGGAUAUUAUACUAUCAUAGGAUAUUUGCCAAGUUGAAGUUAAAAUUUUGUAAAACAGCCAUACAACCGGCUAUGCUUUAUGGUAUGAAAUGUUGGGUAGUUAGAAAAUACUUGCAUAAGAUGAGUGUGGCCAAAACGAGAAUAUUGAGAUGGAUGUGUGUUAAUACAAGAGAUAGAAUUGGAUAUGAAGCCAUUCAUAAAAAGGUAGAAGUGGCAGCAAUUGAGGACAAACUGAGAGAAGGAUAACUUAGAUGUUUUGGACAUGUACAAUAUAGUUUGAUGAAUACACUAGUACGAAUGAGCGAUUUGAUACAUGUAGAAAGAAUGAAGAGCGGUAGAGGUUGACCAAAAAAUCAUAUGGGUUGUAGUAGUAAGGAAAGACUUGAUAUCUCAACAUCUUUCAGAAAGUAUGACCUUAAAGGAUUGAUGUAGCCCACCCUAACUAGUUUAGGUUUAACUGUUUAAGGCUUGGUUGAGUUGAGUUGUAUUUUGCCCGGAUGCUUCUUGGAUGUCUCCACAUCCUUUUUUUUUUUGUUGAGAGCAAAUCUUUAGGCCACUUCAGCAUUCCUUCCUAUUCUAGUUUCCUAAAUUUUGACGAAAUGUCCUAUUUUUAAAGGACAGAUCACAAAUAGGAUUCCGAUUAUCCUAUGCUUAAAUCUCUUUGAGGUUGUUAACAGAAAAAACGAUUAUGGUAUCGUUUAUUUUUCUUUGGUUUCAAAUUAUUGUGCUUUGCAAAGACAACCAAGAAUCAUUAUCAUACUGCUUCAAUUUUAUUCUGAGGUGUUGUUUGAUGAAUCAAUGCGUGUUUUGGUUCUACUUCUAAAUUAUUUUUUCCUCAAAUAAAGAAAGAAAAAAAAGGAGAUUUUCAAGUUAAUUGAAUUAUGUGGUUCAAAUGUAUCAAAGAUUAUGUACUUGCAUUUUUUCAUGUUAUGAAUAAUUUGCUCUAGAAUAUUUAUAAACAAAAAUGAAGUUAAAUGUUAAAUUAUGCUAAGUAUGCAUUAACAUUGCUAUGCAUCUUCUUUUAUGUGUGGCCAAAAUAUAUGUUAAUAUAUGCUUAAAAGUUUUAAAGGAAUUUCAUUUUCUCGGUUCCAUGAUUUUCAACAGAAAAUAUUGAAUAUGGCUUUCACCACGCGUCGAUUAUGACUAAAUCUGAUAAUAUACUAAAUAUCGUUUCCAUUCUUUUCAUUUUAUAUCAUUCAUAAGUCAUAACUAAAUCUUCUUAUCUCUUCAAUUUAAGCAUAUGAUAGCUCAAAAUAUCUCUUACCUAUGUUUAGUGAAAAAAUCCACUUGUUCUCUUGGUUGCAAGGUUUCAAUCUUGAUUGGGGAAAAAAUAGUAUUAUACAAUAGAUAUCAUGCUAAUGAUUCACUGUCACAUUGCACAUGUUAAACAAUAAAUGCAGAAAUGUAUCAAAUUCUGACAGUUUAGUAGUCUGAGCUUCUUCUAUUUGGUUGUCGACCUCAUGUCAAUCCUCCACUUUUCAUCCGAUCUUGGGAUUGGUGGUAUCCUACAACAAAGAUGUUUACAUCAAUAUCUAUUUCUACUGUAUAAUGCCAACUUUGCUAAUGUGUGUGCGUGAGGUGUUUCUGAUUGUCGACGUUUCCUACUCGUAAGUUUCCCCAUUCUGUGUUCCUUCACCAUUUCUCAUCCCAUGUUUCUCCAUUCUUGUGAGGUUAGCUGCUUAGAGUGUGUAGUUGUUAACCAGAGGUCGAAGGUUCAAGUCCCUUCUAUAGUGUUUAUCAUUAUUUUUAUUAGAUAAAAAGCAUGGGCCUUGCACGUGCCAACUCUAGUCAAUAAUAACGCAUACUCUAGAGAACUAUUUCUAUGAUGCAAUUAUAGGAACUAUAAUAUGUAUACAUGCGCACACACACACUUAAAGUUAUCAAAUCAUGUUUGUGUAUUAAAUGCUCAAAACAUGUCUUUUCAACAUUGUAAAGGUAUUUAACAUCUAAAAUUAUUUGUGAUGGAAAUAGAUUUUUCCCAAGUUUCAUUAUGUGCAAUAUGACUAGAUGCUGAUAUGGUUGCUUACCUUUCAAUGCUGAUGUGUUCCAAGUGUUGCUAUGAUAUGUCACGAUAUAAAUUCCUAUUGUCGGAGCAUAGUUCAUUUCUCCCCUUUCUUUUGUGCACAAUAUAACAAAAUUACUUUUGAUAGUUAAUGUUUGAUGUAAAAUAUUGGCAUUUUACUUUGGAUAAAUAUAUUUUUAGCAUAUCAAACUGAAAUAUAAUGAUUCAUUUGUUUGCUUAGCUUGCGGCAAUUUGUGAAACGGGGUUUCAUUAUCGAGACAAAAUCCGUCCUAGUCACUAUGUUGUUGAUAUUGCUUCAAACAUGCAGGUUUGUCAAGCAACUCUUUUAAGUUGGUACCAUUGAUAAUUCUUUCGAUGUUGUAAUACAUAAUAUCAUUCUUUCCAUGUUGUGAUACAUAAUAUUAUUCGUCUAUUGGCACAUGAAUCUGUAUGUUUUGCAAUAAUGUUGUGGUUUUGUAUUGCUUAUUACUUUAUUUGGAAUUUUAAUACUUUUGCAUUUUGAUUUUUAAUCUUUUCGAGUAUUAAGUCAUGUGGUACAAGGUUAAUGUAUCCCAACUACAAACCCAUCAUUAUUGCAUGUAGAAUUUUCUUCGUCUUUGAGCUGUUUUGCACAUACACCACAUAUACGUGUACAUAUAUGUAUAUAUGAAAUACAUACGGUCCCAAGUGUCCAGGUGUCCUUUAAGUGUCUGACACUUCAACCUCCAAAAAAAUUUAGACAUGGAGAUACUUUAGUUUGAUAUACUUCUAAAAUAAACAUUGCCUACAUCAAAAAAAAAAUAAAAUAAACAUUGCAUCUGGACAUCCUUACGUUCAUUUUAAAAAGUAAAAAACUGUUAUCAUUAUAAGUGUCUAAACCAUGGUUUGCCGUACCGCCCGGUAUGGCCGUACGUACUAGCAAAAAACUGGUAUGAAUACACAUUCAAGUCAGUACAAGCCCCGUACCGUCUGUACCGAGCCGUACAAUUUGUACCGAGGCAUACCAAGAUAGAAAUUGAGAAAAAUAAUUGUAGAGCUAUUUCGGCACAUAGGUAUAGCGUACCAUACCUUACCAAACCAAUAAGGUACCCGGUAUCGAGAUUGUAGACCUUGGUUUAAACACUAAGCCAACUAUGAUAUAGCACUUGACAUUGUUGGGAACAAAGCGUCAUUAUUGAAAAUGCCAAGCAAGUACUGACACUUUCGGCAAACAUAAGCAGAACACUCCCGUUUUGUAAUUGCAAGAAGUGUCAUUGUCUCGUGCCAUGUCCAAAUGUCAGAAAGUGUCCACACACAAGAAGAUAUGCAUAUACAUUUUAUAUUAUACGUAUGCAUAUGCAUAUGUAUAUACACAUAUUAUAUGCAUAUACAUGUACAUAGACAUAAACUAACAUGAAUGGAAUGUUGAGGGCUGGCCAAGCUGAACUUCUCGACUACCUGCAAAAGGCUUUUUGCUGCUCAUAAGCUAGAUGGUUGUAUCUUUCUCAAAACUUGGCUUGCUAUGUAGUUGAUUGACCAUCUUCAUAGACAUUUGGGUCUCGAAUGGAGAUUGAAAGCCAUUCCUUCAGUGGGAAUGUAUGGCGGCACUAUUGCCAUGUUGAAAAGAGAUAGUGGUGAUAUGGAGUUCAUUUCUACUUCUAAGUAUUGUAUGAUAUUGCUUCUUCCAAUGUCGACGGAAUCGGUAUCGGUUGCCUGGUGGGACGAGUCAAUACGGGUCCGCUCCGUGCCGUGCCGGGCCCGUACCGACACAGUAGAGGAGGCGGGGGAGAGAAAAAAAAGAGAGAAGGGGGAGAGGGAGGGAGGUCGGUGGAGGGCCGUUGAAGGCCGGCGACCUGGGCAGGAAACGGAGGAAACCUUCACGGUCGGAAAAUAGGCGGGUGUCCUAUUUCGUUUGAAACAGGGGUCCUGCCCCUUUUUUAUUUCACAAUUUUUGAGUGAAGUCGGCAAGCGGAGCUUGGAGAAGCGUCCUCCGCACGGCUCGCCGGCCUCCGCUGGCCGACUUCCACCUCCCUUUCUUUUCCUUCCUCUCCCUCUCCCUCUCCCUCUCCCUCCCUUCAUUGCUUGCUCUCUCUUUUUCUCUUUUCUUCUCCCCCUCUGGUAACGGAUUUCGUUUAAGUUGCCGGAACCGUGCCGGUUAGCCGCCGGGACGGCUUGAAAAGGCCUAAACCGUCUGGUUCGGUACGGUUCCGCCGAUCCUGGUUUGUCCCCUUGAUAACCCUGCUUUGAUUUUGGGAGUCCAUCGUGACCUAUGGCUUGAACUUUCUCAAUCCUCCAACUCAACUAACCUAUGUUAGUUGCUGGUGAUUUUAACAUUGACUUGUGUGCUGAGGAUAAAAAGGGCGGGCUACAUUAUUCUCACAGACAAUUUAGGAUCAUGUUAAUAGGUAUUAUUCAACUUACCGAGACGAGUGGUAGUAGCAAAAGCAGUCAUGUUAAGAUUGGUGAAGUUGACCAUCAUGAUUUGAAUAUCGAAGCAAAAUAGUGUUCACACUUGUGCCCUCAUGCACAACUGGAAGAUGUAGAACCACACUGAAUUAUUACAUUUAAACCACCAACAAUCAAGUCGCUACUCAAAAAACUUUGCUCUGGAUAAAUCUAAUUGAAACCACACAUUGCUUGACCACUCUCCAACCUUGCUCUGAUACCAUGUAGCGCUAUAAACACACGAACAACCAAUCUCAAAAUCUAUGGCUUCGAUACCAUGUAAAACUACAAACACACGAACCACUAGUCUCAAAAUCUAUGGCUCUGAUACCAUGUAGAACCACAAACACAUGUACCACUAAUCUCAGAACCUAUAGUUCUGUUACCAUGUAGAAUGUCACGCUUCCCGACAUAGAUCAAAUAUGCCGGUUCAGGAUCUAGAUCAAACACGAAAUAAAUCAAGCAAAAAUAGUGGAAGGAAAAAUUUUGGAGAGUGAAAUAAAUUACUCGAUAAAGAGGACAAAAAUAAUGAGUGUGGCUCCCACUCUCGAAGAAUGCCUCUUCUUAUCAAGAAGAAUUCUCUCCUACUCUUUAUAAAACCACAAUCUCUCUCCCACUACAGACAAAAACGUCACUAUCUCCUACUAAAAGGCAAAAUUAUCAAUAUCCUACUUCAACUAAAAAUCAAACUCAAAUAUAAUAUGGACUUGAAUCCUAAAGAUAUUAGAACUAAUGCCUAACUAAAGAAAUUCUAAUAAGAUUACAACUUGGCAAUGAAUCUCAACACCUAACCCCUUUGCGCCAUCACACUUCUGGCCCUUAAGUCAAUGUAAUACAUUAUACGGCCUCAUCACAAAGAUAUUGUCCUCUAGAUUGAGGAAGGUUGUGAACAUGUUAAAAUUCGAUAUCAGCAGGCCCAAAUGGUUCAGCGGGUUCGGGUCGGGUCGGGUUGUAGGGUUGGAAACCUAAAAUUGCCCAAAUUUCAAACGGAUCGGGUUGGGUCGUAGGGUCGGGUCCGAAUUCAGAAAAGCCAGACCCGACUCCGAAAAUGGAACGGUCCAAUUUUAGAACCCAACCCGGCUCCACAGGUUCUUUAAAACAGGUCGGAUCGGGUUUAAUCGAGUUGGGUCGGGUCGUGGGUCAACCCGACCCAGGCUUAGCGAUAUGCCUUCUGAAUAUGAAAGGAAAGCUGACUAAAGGUUGUUGAAAAGCUAAAGCUGCUACUAUUGCUCUCGAUAGAGCAAGAUGCUUUUCUUGCUAGAAGAACCAUCUUUGAUAGCAUAUUAUUGGCUCGGUAAGUUAUGCACAGCCUUCAAUGAGCAUAACCCUCUAAUUUAUAAUUGACCAUUAAGCUAUAUAUGGAAUCAGCAUAUCAUAGACUUGAUUAGAACUACUUUCCAAAUAUAUGGAUUUAAUGGGCAUGAGCUGUGUUAGAGAACCCUCCUUUUCUGUCCAUAUCAAUGGUACCAUAACUUAGUUCACAUCUUCAAUGGGACUUCGGCAUGGAUGUCACCUGUCCUUUUAUCGUUUUAUUUUAUGCUCGGAGAUUCUAUCUAGGUCACCAAACAUGGCUAUGAAAGCAGGGUUGGUGUGUGGAUUUAGGUCGAGCAUUAUAGGCCCUGCCUUCAAUCAAUUAUUAUUUGCCAACGACUGCCUAUUGAUCUCUAAAGCUAUGCACAGUGGUGGUAGCACUUUAGUGAUGGACUAUUGUGCACAAUCGGAAGAACGGGGUUAAUCUUCAUAAAUUUAUUGUUGUUUUCUUGCCAAUUUGGACAACCACUUACCGUUGGCUGUUUCUUGGAUUCACGGCUUUCCACACCCUUUCUAUUUACUUGUUAUUGCUGAUGCUUGUUCCAUAGCUUGGGGUUUCUCCUCCAAUUACCAAGAUGUUCCCUAAUCAAGGACUGAGUGCUACUGGCACAAGGCAUGCCAACCAAACAAAAAAAUUGAUGCUAGCAAAAAUUUAAUCAAAAAAUGGAGAAAAGGAUGCAGUGACCUAUUGCUUCUAUUGUUACUGGCUUAGAACGUUAUGUGCUUGCCAGCAUGGAUUGGUACUGGCUGGCACUUAAAGCCUUGUCCUUCAUUAUUAUUAUACCUCUUUUAGGUUCCUCUCCAAGCAUAAAGCAUUACCAUUUUAUCCUUGCCAAAGCCUUUUGACUUUGUUGACUGUUGUUGGUCUUCUUUUGAUUUAGUCACCCUGAUUUUAUAUAUUGCUUCAUGACCUUUUGCUAAUAGCAUAUUUUUUUAUUCAACUAAAACUUAAUAGUUUUUGCACACCAUUCCAUGAUAUGUUAAUUGAACAGUUGAUAUUACUGUCUCAUAUCUAUUCAAAUCUCUAACUUGUAAUUUUAGAUCUUUGAUGGCUCAUUUCUCUUGUUUUAUUUUGACACAAGAUUAAAAUGUUUAUCCAGUAGUCCUGUUGACCUCUAUAUGGCUCAGGUUUUUGUUUAGCUGAUUCACAAAUUAUCAUGUCAGAUAUUUCCACCAAAAGAUUGGCUAGUUGCGUCAUCGUUGCCAUCAAAAUUUGUUCCAAAUACAAUUCAGAAGAUAUUGGAUGAGCUGAAUCCAACAAAUGUCAGGUAAAGCCCCGAUACUUUAUUACCAAGCGCAACGUCUUAGUAGGACUUGGUAUGUACAAAGGCAUUUAGUUCAAUGAAUUUGACAUUGAGCACUGAAAUAGAGGAUGAUCUAUCUUACAUGCGGAUUUUAUAUAUUUACUAAUUAACUGUUCUCUAGUCAAUGCUGUUCCUAUGGAUAUGGGCUGUUUCUUGUUAUAUAAUUAAAUUCUAUAUAAGUAUUUUUGGAAGUACAUGCAAAAUAAAUUCAUCGAUCAAUAUUAGUAUUAUUAGUGUCUUGGCUUAUUCUAAGUGUACAUUUGUACUUUUUAUGUGAAUAAUUGGCUUCUUGCAUUCUUGUUGCAUCUAAAAACUUGAUUCGUAUGUUACAUGAUGUUAGAACUUUGAGAUGAUCUUAUGCAAAAAAGGAAAGCAACAUUGUUGGAAAACAUGAUAAUUGAGUUACAGCAUUAGGUCAUGCUUGUAACCAAAGAUUAAGGUGUCGGAUAGUACAUGUCGUAGAAACAAGGCAUUUUCAGACACCUUUCAGCACUGAAAUUGGGUUGAACCUGGUACUGCUCAAUACCAAGCCAUAAGGUGUGUAAACACCUUUUUUUUUUUCAUUUCGCAUCUUAAGCUGUGCAGGGUGAUUGAAGCUUGAAGCUGAGUGGUUUACAUUAGAAUAAAAAUGUGUAUUUUCGGAUCUUGGAAACCAUAAUUUGCAGUGAAAAUGUGUCUUGUAAUAGUGUUUGACUUCAAAUUCGUCAGUCUUUUAUAUGCUGACAUGCGUGGACACACAUUUAAAUAGAUGACUAUAUUAAAGUAACUUCUUCAUGCACCUGGUGGCUGUGCAAUCCACUUGUCUUCAAAAUUCGCCUUACCAUAGGUCAUGCUGGCUGUGUCAUAUUGGAACCAUACAUGCCAUGCUGGUUGGUUACCAGCAUCCGUAUGGGCAUUGGAUUUUAAAACCUUGCUUGUGACUUGUCAUUAUGCUGAAAUUUAAGUGUUUUCUUUUCUUUUGAGAUCAAACUUUAAGUUAGUUAAUUUAUAGAAUCUAGUCCUGUAUUUCAGCCUCUUGGGAUUCCUUCAGAACCAUAGGAUUUCAGCUUGUCAAAACAACAGGAUCUCUUUUCUACCAUCUGAAUGCUAGGAUUGUCUUGACAUCUAGAGAUUUGAAGAUCUGUUUGUAGCAUAAGUGAUUUGUGCAGCAUCGCGAAUCUAUUUCUUUUGUUUUUGAGUUUUUUUUGUUGGGCUAACGUCAAGAGAUUAAGGUAAUUGGUUAGGGGUGCAAAUGUGCAAUCUUCCGGACCUUCUUUUCUGUUUAAUCUUAUGGUCUAUUUACAAAUAUAUCUGAACUCCAAAGAAGCAGAAGUUGACAGCCCAAAUCCUCAAUCAUUUGACAGAUCAUUUUCUAAUUCAGAACAAACAUGCAGUCCUAUUUGACUUUCUUAAGAUUAUCCUUUUAUUUUAACUUGUUUCUUUUUUGAGUUAAUUUUUCUAAUUUCUGGAGAUGCUCCUAUCUAUCUAUUUAAUAUCUCUCUCUUUCUCUCUCCUUAAUUUAAUAAUAGCAGGGGUUGAAAUCUUCUGCAUACCAGCCCUGCACUGGCUGGUGAGCUGGUAAUAUAGGGGCAGGCAUGCACCAGGUGAUUUGAACCUGUAUUGCUUCAUAUUGAGGCCCAUGGAGGCUUACCACCCCCCAUCAAUGUGUAUCAACCCUCUACCUACUUUUCAUUUAAAAAACAAAGAAAAAACUUUUUCUGCUCAAUUGCACCAAGGUGUAUCGAGGCAUUCCGUCCCGUAUCAACGAUCACGCCUUACCUUCCAGCCAUUGAUACACUCUUGAUCCUCAACAUUUGAGUUCUUUCUGAAUAGAAAGAAUACCCUAUGGUUCAGAAUCUUUUUACAAUCUCUGCCUGGACUUGCUUCCUAGUUGCUAUUCUUACUUCUUUUUUCCUAAGAGCUCCCAUUCCUUGCUUCUAUACCUGAAUUUGCUAUCGCAUUUGCUGCUAAUUUGAGGUAAAUGAGGCUGUCCCUUCUAUGGAAUCUUACGCUUAUGCAAUGCGUUCCCAAAACUUCUGCAUCAUCUUAAUUUUUUCAUAUCGGAUUUUCUACACAAGGUGCCACACUUUCUUCGGAAUCUCACUUUCCCAUUGACUCCUAUGCCCUACACUAUGCAUUUCCUUAAGAUCAUAAUCACCAAAUUAGUAAUUUAACAUUAUUUAAAAUUCAUUAUUAACUCUCUCUCUCUAUAUAUAUAUGUAUUAUGUAUAUGUGUUUCUUAGGCACUUCCAUAGUCUAAGCUUUCUAGCUCCUGCCUUUAGUCUACUCUCAGUUGCAAUAGGAAUACAAUACUGACUAGGUUAAUUGAACAUGUUUGUCUAGUACACUAAUACUUUUCAUGGAGCUUCAUUUAAAGCUUUAUUCAUUUAUUUCUAUAUUUUGCUGCAUCCUAGUUGGUUUUCAUCUGUUGGUGGGUAGUCUUGCUUACUUAGCCCUUUGUCUGUUUAAUGUAUGGUCAGUGCUAUACGCUUUUGUUUUUGCUUCAUUUAUGCAUUCUAUCAUCCACUUCUUUAAUUCCUUUGAGGCACAAUUGGUCUAUCCUCCUCGUUGAAGUUUUAUCCCUUUUUCUGACAUUGAUUGUGCAAUUGGUCCAACCUAUCAAUGUUUAAUUCAGCAUUCACUGUACCACUCCAAAUCGCCUGGUUUGGGGUGGGCCGAGCCGAACCGAGAGGGAAUCGGAAUGAUUCUCCCCUUCUAUUUGGUACAGAGGCCCUAGCUCAAUUAAUCCCCCCAACCUCGGAAUCUCAUCCCCUGGCUCAAUCCCCUUAUUCAGAUGACUUAAAUCCCCCUCCCCACCUCGUGAUUGCUAGAGACCCCCCUCAUCUUUUGCUCGCUAUCGAUGCCCCAUGACGACUCAGAGUACUCGAUCCUCCCCCUUCGUCCGCCGCUUGCCCGCUCUCCAAGCAUCGCUGAUAACAUCCCCCCUUUCCCUCCCUCUCUUUCUCACACUCAGGUUAGGGUUUUCCUCUCUCUCCUCCCUCCCUCUCUCNNNNNNNNNNNNNNNNNNNNUUUCGUUCUCUCUCCUCCUCCCUCCUCUCUCUCUCUCUCUCCUCCCUCCCUCUCUCUCUCUUUUCCCCCUCCCUCUUCCCCUCCCCCUCUUCCUCUCUCUCCUUCUCCCCUGAUAUCUUUGUUUUGGAAUAGGGGAGAAGGUUUCGAACUAUUUUUUUUUAAAUUUUGAACUAAAGUCAGAAAACCAUAUGCUGACUUCAAUUCAAAAUUUGACAAUAAAGAAAAAAAGGUCUGAAACGAAUUGGAAUGGCACGGUACUGGUGUUAUACCAUGCUCUGUACCGCUAGGCAGUACUGUGCUCUGUAUUGCUAGGCAAUUGGUACAGGUCCCAGUACCGGUACAACCAACCUUAGUUUAAUUGAUUUGGCUUCUUUUCUCUACACACAUUCUUAUAGUCUAGCAAGAGGUAAGAAUGGCCACUCCUAAAUUAGGGUGGACUAAUUUUUGAUGACUGCUCUGGCAUGGCUUUUAGGUUUUGACAUUUUAUCAUCAAAUUUACAUCAUAUAUACACUGUACAACCUCAAAAUCAUGGUUUGCCUAAGUGGGCCAAACUGGGACUACUCGGUUCACCCAGUACUGAAUCGAACCGGUGCGGAAUCGGCAUGGUUCGGUGUUGUUUUUCGGAAAAUAGCAUGUAUCGGUGCGAACCAGAUGGUUUGGAGCGGAACUGGAGCGAAUUGCUCGGUUCGCACUAAUUUGAACUGGUUUGGCCCCCCACUCCUUCAAUAUCUCAAAAGAUUUGAAAAUGGUCCGCUGAACCAGGGUGAACCACCCGGUUCACCCCAUACUGAAUCGGUAGCCAACCAGCAUAGUUCUCGGUAUUGGUUCGGCUAACCUUGCUCAAAAUGAUUGUUAGAUAACCUAUAAUUAAUUUCUUGUAGAUGGACAAAGCAUCAAGUAGUCAAUAUUCAUGACUUUUUUGAUGCAUCUAAGGUUACUAGUUACCACCUUGUAAUAACCAGUAUGCCAAGCGGCUCCUACAAGUUGCAAUACACCAUAGAAAAUACUACCAUUUUUUGGGGGGUAUUUGCUUUGAAAAUUGUUAUUCCAUGACUCAUUCUUAGUCUUUAAGUGGGACAAGAUGAGAAUGUGACAUGUUAGAGAUAAAAAUAUAUGAAUUUUUAUCAUGUUUUGUGUAGUUGCUUCAUGUUAUGUACAUCAACCAUAGUUACCAUACAAUAGACUCUUGUAUCGAUCAGAUCUGAAUAACUAUUUUUGUCGGUCGUGAUGCAUUAUUAUUUCAUGUAUUGGGCUAUUGGCACCAAUGAUGGAUUUUUUACACCGUUGCAGCUUUCUAUAAUUUGUUCCAGCAAUUACAACUAUAAGUCCAUAUUUUGCUUUGUAUUUGCUGUUCUCCUUUCCAUCGUCACCUUCGUAUUUUCAAGAGAAUCAAGACAUUAUCCCAUUUAUUUGAUGAAAAGAAAAUGAUCCUCUUUUCAGAAUAUUCUGGGAAUCUAAAAAGUUUGAAGGAUCUAUGGACUCAGUUGAACCAUGGUAUGGAACCCCGUAUUCUAUUGAAAAAGUCACUGCUUCCACAAUCCAGGUAUAUUAUCAAAUUUAUAUUUAUUACUUAUUCUUUUGGGAAUACACUGUUUUGACAUCAUACUUCAUAACAUGUUUUUGUUUUGCUCGUAAGCUACUAUUGUUUCUUUACUAAGCAUUGCACAGUCCUGAAUUAGUUUCGCAAUGUGCAAUAGUUAAUCAUUUUCUGAAUGCUUUAUGUUUUGUAGCAAUGGAUAGAAAAUGCUCCUGAUAAAAAUCUACAUCUUCCAAAGCCUAAUAUAUUCAUCCCAACUGAUUUGUCACUUAAACAUGUCCAAGAGAAGGUAAAUUCUUGAUGGCUUAAUUUUUUUUUUACUGUUUUUUCUAUAUAAUCUAAUUUCAGAUGUAUGCAAUGUUGUGAUCUUUUAAACAGGUUAAAUUUCCAUAUCUCUUAAGAAAAUCGUCAUUUUCAAGAUUGUGGUACAAACCUGAUACUAUGUUCUUCACUCCUAAAGCUUACAUCAGAAUAGAUUUCAACUGCCCUCAGUCAAAUUACUCGCCUGAAGCAGAGAUUCUCACUGCUAUCUUCACAAGGUUAUUAAUGGAUUAUUUGAAUGAAUAUGGUGAGCUAUUACUUAUCUUAUUCCACCCAAGAAUAUCAAGACUUUCAUGUUUAGACUCUAUCCAUCUUCUGUACAAACUGUACUUUGAUAACACCAUGAAAAGUUCUGAAGGAUCAGUCGAUCAUUCUUUAUUAGUUAAGGGUUUUUGGUAUGGUCCAUGCCAUCAAAGACAAUGGUUUAGUAGUUUAACUGAGUGGGUUUGGGAGCUUUAUUUAUUCUGAUGCUUUACACUGAAGAAAGAUGGCUGAAAGGAUAGAAUCUUGGGGAUGAUAAAGGCUGAGAGAGCUAAACUGGAGGCCAGAUAUGCAGUAUUGGAAUUGGCGCCCGUGCCGGAAGGCAGGUGGUAUGGUACGAUAUCAUACCGUGCCAUUCUGCCAUGUACCGACGAAGAAAAAUUGGAGGAGGAGGAGGGAGGGGGAGAGAGAUGUCGGGAGAGGGAGAGAGAGGGGACUCGGAAGCCCCUUCAAAUCGAGGGAGAGGGAGAGGGGACUCGGAAGCCCUCCUCUCCUCUUCUGCUUGGGCCGCUCAGCGGAGUCCCUGUUUCUUUUGAGGUGAAGAGAGAGAGAGAGAAAGAGGGAGAGAGAUGCUGGGGAGGGGGGAGAGGGGGGGGGCUCGGAAGCCCUUCGCUCCUUUGCUCGAGCUGCUGGGCGAAGCCCCUUCAAAAUCGAGGUGGAGAGAGGAGAGAGGGGGGAGGGGGGGAGGGAGGGAGGGAAAGGGAGAGGGAGGGGGAGCAUGAGAUGCCGGGAGAGGGUGAGAGAGGGGGCUCAGAAGCCCUUCUCUCCUCCUUUGUUCGUCCAUAGGGGGCACUUGGUGGAGCCCCUAUUUCGAACAAAAGGGGCUCGGCCCUAAUUUUUAAAUUUUUUCAUUUCUUUAAGUGAAGUCAGCAUAGAGUUUGCCGAUUUCACUUAAAGAAAUGAGAAAAAAAAUCGGGGUCGAGCCAGGGGCUCCACCCAACACCCACUAUGGACGAGUGGAGGAGGAGAGGAGGGCUUGCAAGCCCCCUCUCUCACCCUCUCCGGGCAUCUCUCUCGCUCCCCUUCCCUCUCCCUCUUUCCCUCCCUCCCUCUCUCUUUUUUCCUCUCUUUCCUUCUCCCUCUCUCCUUCCCUCGCCCUGGUUUCUCGAACCGAGGAUUGGAACCGCGUUGCUCUGCCCCCGGUAUGGAUGGGUACGCCCCAAACCGGAUGAUUUGGGGCAAUACGGUGAUCCUUGGCUGGAGGUUUACAUUGCAGAAUAGUCAUUGAAGCAUGCAAAGCCACCAUGAGACAUGUUCUGUUAUCUAGUGGGUUCUUACUUUUUAACUGUAUCUAAUCAUAGUGAUCAGUACCAUUAUGGUUGGACCAGUAUUCUACAGCAUGUGUCAGUACGAACUAUUGCAGUUAAUAGUUACAGAGAAAAGAACCUACCCAAUUGCUUUCAUUUCAUUCUAUGAUGUCCAAUCCACUUGAUUUCUUCAUUAAAUCACUUCCAUGACAAAUCAACACAAAGAAUGAUCCAAUUUGCUUUGUUAGAUGUGGAGGCUACACUGAGUUGCAUAUUUAAACCAGAAACACAUGAUUUUCUUGAUUCCUUUUGUUUUUCAAGUAUUUUACUCUGAUAACAAUAGAAAAAUGAAAACCCAUUUAUAAAUCUCCUUACAAUGUUCAGGAAUCACAUAUCUGUAAACUCUUUCAACAAGUCCAUGUUUCAACUAUUGGACUGAUGAAGACUAAACUGAAUCAAAUAGAAGAAUGUUAUUUUCCCAAAUUUUUUGUUAGCUUUUUGAUGAAUCAACAAUAAAAAUUGACCUAAACCUGUUCCGGUUCUUUCAAAUAUUAAGGUCAUAACCAAAUCUUGAUUUUCUCUUUAGAAAAUGUUAUGAGUCAUGUUUUAAGUAGUAAGUUACUAUUUUUGCAAUUAAGCUUGCUUUUGUGUACAAGAUAAUCAUGUUCCAUCAAACUAUCUGGUGAUGGUGUCCAAAGAUGGGUCCAACUAUUUUGACAAACUAAGCAACCAUUUUGUAAGAAAAAAAUUUAGUUUUCUCCAAAUUGACUACCUGAAAGUGCGUUAAGGGAAAAUCAACUUUAGAAUUAUUUGUUUAUUUAUUUAUUCAUUUAUUUUAUUUUGGAGCUAUUAGCUUGGCAUCCUUACAAUCUAGGCAGGGUUUUUAAGGGUAUUGUCGGUCAAAAUCAACUAUAUUAUGAUUGAUGAGAUACCCUAGGAGUUGAGAGGUAUCCAAGUUUAUAAUGUCAGAAAGCGAAGGAAGAUGAGAGGGGAAAAAGAUGAGUAGCUGACAAACCCAUAUUCGAGGAAACAAGAAUAGGCUAGUGAGAAUCCCAUAGAGGAAAUGGCUUGUCUGAAUUGAGUUCCAGAAUGAUGAUCCAACUCGAAAGAAGAAGAAUAUAAUGAUGCUAUGUAGUGAUGAUCUGAGUUGGCUCAUAGGAAAAGAGAAAUAAAAUCAUGGCUUGAGGUGCCUGUAAAUGUAACCAUAUCAAUAGCAAGGGGCCUACAUAGUGCAAAAAAAAUAUGAGAACAGCACAUGCUGUGAAAACCUUAUUGACAAGUUGCUGAUGUAGGUGUCGUGUAGGGAGUGUCCACAUUGUAUAGCAUGAUUGGCAGUGAAGUUCCAUGUGCAGCAAUGCAAAUGCAAAUAUGAGAAGAGCACGUGCUGUGAAAACCUUAUUGACAAGUUGCUGAUGUAGGCAUCAUAUAGCGAGUGUCCACAUUGGAUAGCAUGAUUGGCAGUGAAGUUCCAUGUGCAGCAAUGCAAAUGUGUGCCGGAUACUUGGAGGCCAUGAUAAAUUGAAAGGAAGCUCAAUGGACCCAAACGUCCCAGACUAUGAGUGUAACAACCCAGAACCUCACCCAAAAAGGCUAGCCGGAAGGUAUUUUUUGGAUUCUUUAGUCCUGUAUAAGUACCUAAGAUCUCUCUGGCGAAUAACCAAUGUGGGACUAAAUACACAUCCAUACGGGUCUUCACAUACUUCCUCCGUUUAAGCCCUGACGUCCUUGUCAGGCUAAGGGUCAAAAUCAAUUCAAAUCUAAUCACAAGUACCAUGAUCGGCCUGUGGUCAGCCUCAAUGAGCUCAUGCUGCAGUGUCUCCUAGUCCACAGGGGCCAUAGGCCAGGUCCGCUCAGAUACCAUUUGUAACAACCUAGGACCUCAUCCAAAAAAGCUAGUCGGAAAGUAUUUUUUGGGUUCCUUGGUCUUGUAUAAGUACCCAAAAUCUUUUCGAUGAAUAACCAAUGUGGGAGGAACCUCAUCGUUAGAGCGUGAUUAAUGGUGGAUCCUUAGGAACCCUAUUGUGGAGGAUCAUUCUCAUGUGACUACGGUCGCUUGGGAUGGCGUUGAGGUUGUUUGACAGACUCAGCUUUUUUAUGCGAGGAUCCGUGCGGGCGUGUGUUUAGUCCCACAUUGGUUAUUUGCUGGAGAGAUCUUGAGUACUUAUACAGGACUAAUGAACCCAAAAAAUACCUUCUGACUAGCCAUUUUGGGUGAGGUCUUGGGUUGUUACAAAUGGUAUCAUAGCGGACUCGGUCCAUAACCUAUAUGGACUAGGGGAUACUGCAACAUGAAUCCAUUAGGGAUAACCACGGGCUGAUUGUGAUGCUGGUGAUUAGAUUUGAAUAGAUUUGAAUCCUUAGCCUAGUGGGGACGCCAGGGCUUAAACGGAGAGAGAAUGUGAGGAUUUGUGUGGGCAUGUUUAGUCCCACAUCGGUUAUUUGCUGGAGAGAUCUUAGGUACUUAUAUGGGACUAAGGAACUCAAAAAAUACCUUCUGGCUAGCCAUUUUGGGUGAGGGUCCUGGAUUAUCACAAAUGGAGGACCCAUGCGAGCGUGUAUUUAGUCCCACAUUGGUUAUUCGUCGGAAAGAUCUUGGGUACUUAUACAGGACUAAAAAUCCAAAAAUAUCUUUCGGCUAGCCAUUUUGGUUGAGGUCCUGAGUUGUUACAAAUGGUAUCAGAGUUAAAUUCGGUCCAUGACCCAUGUGGACUAUGGGACACCGCAACACGAGCUCAUUGAGACUGACCACAGGUCGAUUGUGGUGCUUGGGAUUAGAUUUGAAUGGUUUUUGUCCCUUAGUCUGAUGAGGACGUCAUGGCUUAAACAGGGGGAGUGUGUGAGGAUCCGUGCGGGCGUGUGUUUAGUCCCACAUUGGUUAUUCGCCGGAAGAUCUUGGGUACUUAUACAGGACCAAGGAACCCAAAAAAAAACCUUUUGGCUAGCCUUUUUGGGUGAGGGUCCUGGGUUGUUACAAUGAGAAUGAUAGUUUAGCAAGGAUACUUGAACUACCUUCAAUUAGAGAGUCUGCUCAUGAACGAGUAGAUAAUGUGCUCAAGAAUGUGUCUUCGAGAAUUGACGGUUAAAUAUGCUGCAAUACUCUGCAUGAUUCUGAUGUGAAUCCAUGUAUAAAUAAUUCUAAUUGGGUCACUUAGCUUGUGAAGGCAACUCCAAUCGAUUAAGGUUGGUCGUCUUGAGAAAAUAGAGCAUUAGUGGUGGUACCUAUAGGGCUAGCUUAAGUUCACAGGGUAAAGCUCAGUUGGUUUAAAAAGUUCUAGUCGAAAUGAAUAUUUAAUGAAACAUAAUCUCAUAAAGGCAUGGAUUUAAAUGAAACCUAUGUGGUGGGUUGUGUAAAGGCAAGGAUCAGCUUACAAGAUCCCACCGAUCGAAAUAAUGGACAAUUGUUCACUAUGCCAGUGGGUAUGCAUAGCUAGGCUAGAAUAAACUAGAGUGAAGAUAUUAUGCUUAGGUUGGCUGUUAUAUCAUCUUUUCUCAGUUUAUUCUGUGCCAAGGACUUGCAUGAUUCACAGCCUCUCUGAGCAAUCCAACGCUCCUUGAAAGAAUGAGCUGACUGUGUUUUUCUUCCUUUUCUCCUAUUUCAGCUUAUGAUGCUCAGGUGGCUGGCCUUUAUUAUGCAAUACGCCACACUGACACUGGAUUUCAGGUAAACCUUUUCUUUUUCCCUCAAGUGGCUGGGAUGUACUUUGUAACAAACUACUGUUCAGUAUAUUUGUGUAGAGAAUUGGAUUUCUUGUUAUUAUUGUCAUUCCUUUGUAGAAACCCAUGUGCUUUUGAUCUUUUGUAAUGAGCUUUCUCUUCACUUUUUAUCUAUUUAGCAUUUGCUUCCCCCCUUCUUUUUCCUCUUUCUUUUGGCUACUGAAACUGUUUUCUAAUUCAAAAGAAUUUUUCUUUCUCAUUUUGUUGAAGGGAUGUGAUAAUUGUUAGUCAAUUUAGUUUACCAACAUUCAAAAAUGCUACAACCUUUACAGAAUGUAGUUAGAACUUAGAACCAUUGCUGGAGAAGUACAUCUUUUAUGGAGGCUGCGCAAAUAUUGAGUGGUGGAAUGCUGUCAAUUGAAUUUCUAAAUCUUCAGAAGUUCACCACUAAUGGCAAAAAUCAAAGUUAAAUUAUAACCUAAUCACCAGUUUGUGUUUAUGGCCAAAUGUUGAAAAAAUUAUUUAUCAGUAUUCCAGUUGCAUUGUGCAAAUUAUAUUUUCUUGAUUCUUCAUCAGCAAACAUUGCUUGGAUGAAAACAGUAGACUGGAAUUGUAGAUGGUUCUAAGAUAUUCUUGCCUUGAUAGUAUAUCAUCAACCUUCCAGAAUUAUAUGCAAUUUCAUAAACUUUUUGUUUGCAUCAGUACAUUCCAUGCGCUAACUUGUUGCCGUAUAUCUGCAGGUGAUUGUGGUUGGUUAUAAUCACAAAAUGAGUAUUCUAUUAGAAACUAUAAUUGGGAAAAUCAAGCAGUUUGAAGUUAAACCAGACCGAUUUGCUGUGAUAAAGGUAAGUAAUUAACUUUUAUACACUUGUAUAAUGCCUGAAUGAUCUAUGAUCUUGGUUCUAUUCUUCUUUGAAAUAUCUUGAAAUUUGUUGUAUCAUGUUCAAGCAAUCUCUUGCAAUAUCUUUAAUGUUAAUCUAUUUUUCUUCUUGUAUAACAACUUCUUUAAUUGCAUAAGAGUUAAUGGUAGGUGAUGCAACACUAUCUGCCUACAAGUUUUAGCUGUGAUGCAUGGAGGUUUCAAAGGAUAGAAACAUUUCACAAUUUGCUAGAUGAUCACUAAGUUAAAAAAGCUUUUACCGAAACAAUUUUUUAACCUUAUAGGUUUUUCCUUUUCCUUCAAGUUUAUCGUGAACUUGACUUCAAUGUUCUAGGACUUCAUAUAUAUAUAUAUAUAAAAUCAACUAUUUCUUGCUAUCUUAUCGUCAAAUUUUCAUUGCAAAAGAAUUUUUGCAGAUUGCAAAAGUUUGGUUUAUCUACCUGAAAGCCUCACCAUGAAAUGCUUCUUUUCAGUAUGUAUUAGUUUACAUCAUGGCAUGAAUUUCUGUCAUAGGCAAUCCUUAGAUGUAACUUUAUGAUGCUCAUAUGGAUUCUUUUUUUUUUCGCAUUUGAUUUGUCACUUCUCCAGCAUAUGCCCUAGAUGGCCUAUUGGAGUUAUGUGUAUACAAGAAAUUGACCUGGAGUCUUAAAGGAUAAAGAACGAAGAUGGUUGUUAUUUAGUAAAGUUAUAUGAAAUCAAUUUGGAUUGAAAUACUACUGUUCUUGAAGUUUUGCAUCUGUAUUGUUAUGAAUAAUGUAGUGUAGCAUCACUUUUUACAUAACGUCGAUAAGAAGACAGUGCAAAUGGCACUAACAGAAUGUCAAGAUCUUUAAUCUUAUACAAAAUAACUCCUAGCCAUUUGUUGCAUUUGAAAAAACAUCACAAUUACUGAAGACCGAUGAUUUAAGUAUUAUUGCAUUGCAUACCACCAGAUGGUGUGACAUGUUUGCCUUGAAGUUCAUAAACUUGGUCUUGUUCUGGAAUUUGUGGAGUUUCGGUUUCGGCAGUUUCGGUGAUCUUGGAAGUUCCACUCUGAGUUUCAGAGUUUGGCCAAAAAAUGAGAAAAAAGCAAAAAAUGAAAAAAAAGAAGACAAUGAAAGAAGCUAAGAAACAAUUAUCAGAUAUCGUGUAAGAGUAUUUCAUGUUAUUAUAGAUUCUUCAUUUUCAACAAUCUUAGGUAGAAAUUAGUAUUGCAUAUGAGUGAAAAUAUACUGUUAUUUGUUGCUUUGAACACAUACAUACAUAUUCCUAUGAAUGAAAAUAUACAUACAUAUGAGUGAAAAUAUACUAUUAUGUAUAUAUAUAUNNNNNNNNNNNNNNNNNNNNAUAUAUAUAUAUAUAUAUAUAUAUAUAUAUAUAUAUAUAUAUAUAUAUAUAUAUUCCUUCUUGAACUUCAGAUGUUUAAAAGUUCAUUAUAUAAGGAAAAGCUCACAAAUACGUUGAAUUUGUAUAUUUUUUGAAAUGGGUAUUUAAUCAUUCGCAUGUACUUAAAGAAUGUUACUUUAUGUGAAAAAAAUAUUUAUUUGAAAUGACUUGUAUUUACAAUAUGCUGUAGUAAGAGCUUUCUUGGUGGCUUCAACCUAUCAAGGGUUAUAUUCAUUAUCUAUCUCCUCUUUUAACUCAUGAAAAAGAAAAAAAAAACAUUGAAAAUCAAUAUCAUAUAGCAUGGAAUUCCGAACCGUCCAUUUCGGGGGCGUACCAAACCGAACCGAGGCAGAACCGGGACAGUUCCCCCCUUUGGAUCAAAAUAAUUCAGAGCGGUUUGGAGCAGUUGGUUCUCCCCCUUCCCAUGUUAAAUAAAAGGAGAGGGGCUUGAGAAGGCCUCUCGAGCCUUCUCAGCUCCUGUUCUCCUUUUUUUUUAAACGCCCAAUAAUCACCAAAAAUUAAUGGAUUUUGAUGAUUAAAGGCUAGAUCCAACCCAAAACAAGGUAAUGUGAUUCUCCCUGUCCUCAUUUCUUCAUUUUUUUUUUUCUUUUUGAGGCUGGAAAAUGAUAAAAAAUGGAAAAAUAAGGGGACAUUUGUAUGUUGGUAUUUAUGUUGUACUUAAAAUGCAUUAAAUUGAUUCUAUAUUGUGUAUUUCAUUAACUUUUUUUUAUGUAAACGAUCCCGAUAUCUACGAGAGACAUUAACAAUUCACCAGAUUUUAGAUGUCAGUAUGCAUGUUGUACUUAAAAUACAUUAAAAUGAUUCAAUAUUUUGUAUUUCACUAAUUUUUUACAAAUAUACUGAUUGAUCUACUUUAAUUGCAUUUGAUUAUAAAAUUAUGGCCAAUUUAGGGUUAUGAAGCAUCAGAACAACAAAUUACAUAUCAAAAAACAUCAAAAGACAUAAAAAAACAUCAAAUUAAGGUUAAAAUCACUUACAAAACCAAAAAAAAUUGAGAAAGGCCAAAAAUUGAAAAAACAAAAAAAAAGGAGAUUGGCACACUCUGGUGUACCAUGUGUCGGUGCGGUAUCGAAUCGGUGGCAAUCGGUACAGAUCCUAGUAUCAGUUCAGCUUACCUUGUCAUAUAGUCUAUUUUUUUAAAUAAAUAAAUAAUGACCAUAAUAUAAUUCUAAACAUCGUAAGAUUUUUUAAAAGAAGCAUCUAUGGCCAAUUUAGGUCAGUCUUGGUCACAAUUGCUGAAAUUGAUCGAAACUGGAACCAUGGUGUUUGUUCCAGGUUAGUCUUGGUAUGAUUGUCGAAAGACUAAAAGUUAAUGAUAUUUUCUCUUGAUUGUUGUGCUAACAUUUUGCACCAAUUAGCAUGACAAGUGCAGCUGCAUGCCCCAUGCUAGUGGAACUUGAAUCCUUGGUUUGAAACAGAGUUCAUUGAACCGUCCUGAAUCAGGUGCUUCUGGCCGCACCGGACCAAAAUUGGCCAAGAACUGAGAUGGACAGUUUGGCCUUCAAACCCCAUCCCCCCUGCGGCCCCCUCGUUCUCUUCAUGGCUUCGUUCUCUCUCUGUUAUUUCGCCAUGAACCAAAGCUUUGAAGCCCCAAUAUGCCGUUGCUGGAGGCUCCACCGAUACCCAACACCUAUGCCCUUGAACGAUGCCGAUGCCCUCGAUCGAUGCCAACACCUUGUACUCUUCUUCGCCCGCUCUCCCCCACAUCUUCACCCUCUCCCUUUCCCUCUCCUUCGUCUUCUCACCCCCUUCUUUGUCGUCUCUCCCUUUUUGUCUUUCUGCCCUUUGUCUUCUCCCUCUCCCUCUUUCUCCCCGCCCCUGGUUCUCCUUCUAGGGUUAGAGUUAGGGUUUUGUCCAAGGAAUGGCGAACUGGGCCGAACCGCCCGGUUCGGCUUAUAUCGAGCCGACUCGGUGGGAAACCAGGUCGGUUCAGCCUUUGGAUUCAGUCCCGGCUCUGAACUGGCUGGAAAAGGUUCGAAUCGCGCCUUACUGGUGCGAACCGGCCUGGAAUCGGCCGGUUCGUACCAAGUCGACUCGGUUUUGAACCGGGCUCCUCCCUUUUUCAUUGUCUAGUAUUAAAAUGCUGUUGAGGACUUUUCCAGGCCGGUUCGUACCAAAGUCGACUCGGUUUUGAAUCGGGCCCCUCCCUUUUUCUGUCUGGUAUUAAAAUGUUGUUGGGAAGGCAUUUAUUAAAAUGUUGUUGAGAAGGCCCGAGAAUGCCUUCCCAACAAUAUUUGUAAGCGACGGAGAACUUUCCACCUUUCUUCCUUCCCACCAAGUCCGAAAUCACACCGAUUCAGCACUUUAGAAGAAAGAUCCAAGCCUAAAUAAGGUGUGCUUCCUCUUUUCUCUCAUUUUCAUAUUUUUUUUGGGCUUGAAAAAAAUAGCUCGAAAAUUGCAAAUUAAGAAAAGAUCAUGCCAAAAUUUUUGAUUUGGGAUUGAUUUUAUUAUAUGUUGUAGAUCUAUGGGCGAUCUACACGAUGACGUAAAAUUUUUUUAUUUUCGGAUUAUAUUUAAUUUUUAAAAUUUAAAAAUUUAUUUUUGGAUUAAAAAAUUACCAAUUUUUUAAAAAUAAAAUUUAAAAAAUUAUAAAAUCAGAAGCGUAUUUAGGGGUAUUCAAGUUACUCUCUAGCAAAAUAUGGUGUCCAUUCAUCAAGUUUUGAUGCGAUCAUGCGCACAGUUGCCUAUGCCUAAAUUUAAAAAAUGAGAAAUAAGUAGCCUUUGAUGCAUGCCUAAGGGUCUAAAAAAAUAUGUAGCAUCCACUGUUGGAUUCUACAUGGAUUUGAGCUGAAAUCAAUUUUUUAAAAUAUUAAUAUUUAUAAAUUAUUUUUAAAUUUGAAAAGCAGCAGGAGCUUGAUUGGAUGGGUUGUGGGCCAACAGCAGGAGUCGGAGCUUGAUGAACGAGGAUUGCCUCCACGACCGGCUAGUUUCGUAGCAGCGAGGUUAGGACCAAUGCAGGGCAAUUGGCAGAGAGCAAUAUUCCACACAUUCUUUCAGCUGAUCCAUCACAUCCACAAGAUAACCGGUCACCACAUGACUUCUUGUCCGAGACACUCUUAGAGAUAUGGUCGAUACUUAAACAAGGCCACUACGCUAUUCGGUCGAUUCAGUUAAGAGGGUGACAUACAUCCAACAUAGCCAGACAAAGAGGCACGAAGGUAAGCAGGCAGCCAGUGGCAUGAAAGAUAAGAAGGUAGUUGUCCAGCACACCAAAAAAGAAAAUAAAAGGCACUUGCAGCUCCAAUGGAGUGUCGAGGGGUCAUUUCACUUAGAUUCAUAGAUCAGGAGCAGCAAUUUUGGUGGUCAUGGAUCUGCUGGCUAUAAAGAGAGUGGAGGACAAGAGACCAUCUUUUAUGAGUCGCAUGGUGGUCUUUGAUUCACCGGUGAGUUCCAAUUUAUGCAUGCUAUACAGGAUAGGGACCACGGUGCACGAUCUGGUGGAGCCUGCCAAGAUCUGAUUGCAUAUAGGAGACGGGCUUCUCGAGGUCAUGCAGGACACGAUGCAGCUGCAAAUGAUCUUGCACGUGAAGUAGGAUUCAUAGACAUCAGAUUCAGAGUCGUAUACUGGAUCUUAGUACUCACAGCCACAGGCAGCCUAUGACCUAUACGGAUAUGGAUAUGGUGCGUCUGAGGCAUUUUUCGGUGGCUACUAUCCUACGCAGUUCGGAGCAUCUUAUGGGUCGGAUUUUGUUGCCGGCUUAUUCGGAUGGGCUUCUUCACAGCCGUUUUAUCAGCCAGAGGACACCUCUCAGAGCUAGAGGUUCAGCGAGAGAUCUGAGAGUGCUUAUAAUCCGGAGUGCGUUUCUUAUGGGAUGAACAUACAAAACUACAACGCUGUUUGGUUAGAGAGGUGGGCUGAUGUGCUUUCUGACUAUGCUGAUGAUUCGGAUAUCUACGAAAGGCAUUGCCAUCCGGACCGAUUUUAGAUAUCGGUAUAUAGUGUACUUUAAAUGUAUGUAAUUGAUUAUAUUAUUUUAUAAUUUUUAUCUCACUACUUGAUUUGAAAACAAUAAGAUGCAUUAUUUAGGUUAAACCGGGAUUAUAGAAACAUCAAAAAACGUCAAAAAAAUCAAGAAAAUGUCAAAUUAGACGUAAAAUUAUCGAAAAAGUCAAAAAGAGUGAUUACCAAUUAAAUCAACUGGAAAUACUCCAUAAAAAAAAUUGGGCAUGCCGGUGCCAUACCGGUACCAUACCGAACCGUCCGCCGACCGGUAUGGGUCUUGGUACCGGUUCGGGAGACCUUGGUUUUCUCUCUCCCCCCUUCUCUUCUCCUGAUUCUUCAUCUUCGGUACACUUCAGCAUGGUACAAUACGUACUAAUACUAUGCCGGUAGCUGGUUGGUUCGACCUUUGGUACUGUUCUAGCAAAUCUUGGUGCGAAGAAAACUUUAUUGUUCAUAACUGCUCCAUAGGACUCUAUCAUCAUUAGUUUUCCUCCAUACAUGCAGGUGCAUGAACGUGCAUGUGCAUUUGCAUUUAACCAUGCAUUGCAUAGUUUCAAAUAGGCAACAACCAUGUCUGCGCGUUGGCAUGACUUCAUCUACAAUUUUGCUUCAUAGACAAUCUUAAAAACCCAUGGUAAGUGAACAAGUGAACAGAGUGUAGAUGACAGUCAUAAUCAGUGCAUUUGUAUUAAAUAAAAUGAACAUGUAAAGGGUCCUGAGAAAAUAUAUUUAAAAUUUCAUGGAAGGAUCUAAGAAAACCCUUUUUAAUUGGUUAGAUUACUGGUCUGCACAGAAAAACUUAUGGGAAUGAAUUCCCCGUUCUAUGCAUGUGCAGUUUUACUAUGAGCAACGAUGUAACAGUUGAUUUAAAGGAUAGAUUACAUUUUGGGUAAAUUAGAUUUGUGGAGAACAUGCAAGAGGUUUUUUUAUUUCUUAAUUUACACAAUCAAGUCCAAGGAACCUAAAGUUUGCUGCACCUUUAUUUUUGGCUGAUGAAACAACAUGAAACAUGUUAUUUUGCUUAUUUUCCUACAUUUUUUGAAAAAUAUACCAUAGAAUUCGUCAUCUCUAUUAUCAUAUUAUGGUGCACCAUAACAAUCAGAAUAGACCUAUAUUUUACCUUCUUAUCGUUCUUCAACAUAAGUAAUUUCUGAGUUUCAAUUUCAAUACUUAUUAGGAAACUGCAACAAAGGAUUAUGAGAAUUUUAAAUUCCAACAACCAUAUAAGCAAGCUUUGUACUACUGCUCUUUACUACUUGAGGACCAUACAUGGCCUUGGAGUGACGAACUUGAAGUCCUUCCUCAUCUUGAAGCGGAUGAUCUUGCAGAAUUCUUGCCACGCUUGCUUUCAAAGAUCUUUGUAGAGUCUUACAUUGCAGGUUAGUAUGUUACUUGGCAAGUUUCUUAAGCUGUACCAUAUAGUCAAAUUUUGAUUUCAUCUUAUCUUUUUGUAACUACCUUGCAGGAAAUGUUGAACCGCAUGAAGCAGAAUUAAUGGUCCAGCAUAUUGAAGAUACAUUAUUUAAGGCUCCACAUCCCAUAUCAAAAGCUCUGUUCCCAUCUCAGCAUUUGACAAAUAGAAUUGUGAAACUUGAAAAAGGUCUAAAGUAUUAUUACCCAAUCGAGGGUCUAAAUCAGAAGAAUGAGAAUUCUGCACUCGUCCAGUAUAUUCAGGUGCACAUUUCGUGCAAUUUUUUCUUAUUUACCAAUAUUUCUAUCUUAUGUGCAUGCAAGCAUAUUUGGGUUGAAAUAACUACUGAAGUUAUUCUUUUCCAUAAAACAUAGUUUAACUGUUUAUAAACACUACUAGCAGUACCAGAGAAGACUCUUUCUCUCCUCCCCUUCCCCCACCACCUCGCAAAAAAACAUAGACACGCACACAUAUACACAUACAGGCUUAUGCCUUGCACAUAGAAAUCACAAUAAGUUUGUGGUUAUUAUUUGAUUAAGGCUAUUCUGUUGUUUUCUGAUUUUGUUGGGCGCACUCACAUCCGUUGUGUGGGAGCCGCCGAUGUACCAAAAAAAAAAAAAUUAAGGCUAUUCUGUACAUGUGGCUGGACGGCGCUAUAUGUUGGUUGGAAUAGCAAGGAGUGUUAAGUGAAAGUUUUCAUUGUCCAUUUCCCAAUUUUACUUCUCUAAAACUUCUAUAUCAACAACAUAAUGGUUGUUGAGGCCGUAUUAUUUGUGCAGGUUCAUCAAGAUGAUAUUAAGUUAAAUGUUAAACUUCAGCUGUUUGCUCUGAUUGCGAAGCAACCAGCUUUCCAUCAGCUUCGAUCUGUUGAGCAACUUGGUUACAUAACUGUGCUUAUGCAAAGGUAUGGGGAACUUCAUUUUUCUAGUCCUACCUUAUACAAUUCAAAGUUGAUACAUGAUUAAAAUUAUGACAUCGCAUACCCAGGAAUGAUUCUGGAGUGUGGGGUUUGCUGUUCUUGAUCCAAUCAACAGUACAGGUACCUGAUAUCAAGUAUUUUUACAUAGGCAUAACAACCUAUUUCUUCAAAACCUAGACUUAUUCUAAAUUUUACAGGAUCCAGCAAAGCUUGAUACAAGAGUAGAUGCUUUUCUUCAGAUGUUUGAAAGUAAACUGCAUGAAAUGACCGAUGAAGAAUAUAAGGUAACUCCUUCCUGUUCUCCAAGAAAAGAGGGUUUAAACCUUGGUGUAACUGUAAGGUUGCUUCAUUAUGACCUAGAAGUCAUGGGUUUGAAACACACAAAAGCCUCUCCGCACGUGGGGAUAAGGCUUUGUAUAUCUGACCUUCCUCAAACCCCGCAAUGGCGAGAGCCUUGUGCAUUGGGCCUCUCUUUUCCAACUCCUUUCCGAGGAGGCCUGUCUCACUGUUGCUAAAAUGCAGAAUGGGCGAUGUAUUGGUUUCACAGAGUAUGCAAGUACAAUGACCACUCAUUUCUACACAGCUGUACUACUACCUUAGUGGGUCUACAAAUUUAAAAUUCAUUUAGAAUUUUAGCUCAAAGAGGUCAAACUUGUAAUCUUGCACAAAUGUGAGGCCACAAACUAAUCUAACCUAACAUGAUUUGUGGGAUCUAUGAAUUUAAAAAUCAUUUAGAAUCUUAGAUUAGAGAGUCAAACUUGUAAUCUUGCACAUUGCGAUGGCCACAAACUAAUCUAAUCUAACAUUAUUUGCGGACAGAAAAGUUAAUAGGAGCAAACAGAAAUACUGAAGUCAGAAUUUUUUUUUUUAUGCAUCGGCUGUCUGAUGCGGGAGACUUCUUGUAUCUUCUGGCAUCUUCUUCUCCUUUAUUGCUUGGCGGAGCACUUGACAGCAUAUGCUUCUUUCAAGCACUAUCUUGCUAGCCACAUAUGCCUUUAUACAUGCUUAUAUAUCCAGUUAGGCAGCAAAUGACCACACAUGAUAGGUCAAUCAUAGUCAUUUGACCUUAACAGAGGACUUCAGAAAACCUGAGUAAUACAGGGCAUUACAGUUUUUAUCAGUUCAGUGCUGUCUAAUGAGACUAGUAAGAAUAGCAUGUUUUUAAUCUGGAGAAGUCAGUUAAUAUAGUCGUAACUGAUUUAUUCUGUACAAUGAAGCCAGGUGCAUCUGCCUAUCUGUAAAGUUGAGAUCAUUUACAAGUUGGUAAAUGAGUAUAAACUUCUUCCAAAUUCUAGAAAGGUUUUGUUGUACCAGGAGAAAUUAUCCACCAUAAUAUACAUGUAUAGGUAUAGAGGAUUAUCGCGUACAUUCUUGAAUGUCUAUUGCGUGUCACUUAAAAAUUUACCUAAUGAUGUCGGUGAAGAAAUCAAAAACUUCCACUUGCUUUUAUUUUAUUUUAUUGGUGCCAUGUCCAUGCUUUAGAUAUAGUCUUAAGAUUAUCUAUUAUUGAAAUGGCCGUUACAUGCAGGGCAAUGUGAAUGCACUAAUUGGUAUGAAACUAGAGAAACACAAAAACCUCUGGGAGGAAUCCGCAUUCUAUUUGAGAGAAAUUGCUGAUGGAACUCUGAGGUUUGAUAGGAGAGAAUUGGAGGUAAUUUCUCGAGCUCAAUUGUACAGAUAUAUCCUUGCCUCCUGUUAUGUGAGUCUGGAACUUGCUGCAUCUGUUUUGUGAAAAAUUACAGGUUGCAGCAUUGAGAGAUCUCAAGAAAGAGGAACUGAUGGAUUUCUUCAACAACCAUGUCAAAGUUGAUGUACCACAUAGAAAGACUCUCAGCGUGCAUGUCUAUGGCAGUCUUCAUUCUGCUGAGUACAAAAGAGUGAUGCAAGAAGCAGAUCCACACCAAGUAUGUCAAAUUAAUGAUGUCUUCAGCUUCAGAAGGUCAAGGCCUCUAUAUGGUUCCUUCAAAGGUGGCCUUGGCCAGAUGAAAUUAUGAACUCUGUGAAGCGCAGCAUUUCUUCAUUUCUUUUCACUUUGCAGUUGUCUUGCAUUGCUUUAAAUUGUUAUCAAAUGAAUAUUGUGACUUUUGAACUAUUAUUUGAAUUCCUUUGAAUGAACUCGAGCAUAACAUUUUAACUUGUUGACUAUUGUCUGAUAUAAUUAUCUAGAAAUUGUUGCAAUACCGAUAUGAUAAAUUUGGUUUUAUGGGGUCUGGAGCCAAUCACUUGUUAUAGCUUAUUUGACAAUAUAUAGCAUGAACACACCUGUUUUGUGACACAAAAUUCUUGUUACAAACCUCUUAUCGAUCAUUUCAUAAAUUUGUAUUAUUUCGAGGGUCAUGCAAUUUAUUUUUGGAUAGGGAAAAUGAGAUAUCUAUAAUUCUUGCUCUUUUUGUUUCUUUUAUUUUUUGAAAAUCCUUGGUAGAUAGAAAAAGUCAUAGCAGUCGGCCCACCAUUUAUUUUUUUUAGCAGCAGCGAUGCAGCAUCAACCGUUUCCUCAUCAAAGUGCGGAUCUUGCAAUCGUGCAGCUGAAAGUUCGAGUUUGCGACCAUCAUUAUGGGUGUUUUUUUCUGUUCAAAAUUGCCUGAUUUAUAGACAAAAAGCCUGCCUAUAUAUCAUCCGAGCGAAUAUUGUUUCACGGUGGAAACUGGUGAAUUUCCGUGGGUUUAUCGGGAACCUUCUCAAAAUAGGCUGAUUACCAUUCAACAAACUGUUCCCACGAACAUUAUGGUGAGACUUGUAUUGCCACUGUACUCGUAAAUUGAGUACCGAUAUUCUCUCUCGCUCUGAACAACCACCAAAAACACGAUGGGCUCGUUUGGUUCGCGGGAAGUAUUUUCCCUCCUAGGAAUAUGUUUUCUGGGAAUCAGAUUCCUAGGAAAAGGAUACCUAGGAAAGUACUUUUGGCAUGUUUGGUUAACCAUGGAAAAGUGACAAAUUUUCAAAGUGCUUAUGUUUGGUUGACCAUCCACUUUCCUAGGAAAGUUAAGUAUAAUUUCUAUUAUGCCCUUAAUAAAAAUUAGGUCUUUAAUGCCUCUUUAAUGCUUCUUUAAUGCUGAAGGAUCUUUUUGGGAAAAAAUAAAAAAGGAGUGAUUCUCACCUCAUGGGAAAGUAACUUUCCCAUGUUUCUCAUGGGAAAGACUUUCCCAUGAAAUGUGGGAAUCAUAUUUCCAUGGGAAUACAACUUUCCCAUCUCUCUCCUUUGAAAACUCCAACCAAACAAGAGGUAUUUCAUUACUUUCCCGUUGACCACACUUUCCCCCCUCCUUUUUCUGCGAACCAAACGAGCCCGAUGAGAUGAGACUUUCCCCCUUCAUCGUGCCUCCAAUGAGGUCAUCAUUAGGGGUUGUCAUAAAUCAUUAGGUCGGGAUGGAUUAUCCAAAAUCAAAUCCAAAACUCAAUUAAAACACUACGUCCAUGCUCGAUGUUAGAUCCAUAAGAGUACCUAAAGUGCGAUCUUAUGAAUCUUAAGCUAUUAAAAAAAUAAUGAUACAAGAAAAUGGUUAAAAACAAAAAAAGGUUAUCCUAAGCCAUAAUUUUUUAAUAAAAGCAUAAUCAAGUUGGCUUUCAAGUAGUCAAAUCAUAAGUUGCAGAUAGAGAUUUAUUGGAUCAAACUGGGUUACUAUUUGAUUUUUAUAAUUAAAAGGCAAAAUUGUUUCGCAUGGCCUAAGGAUAAAAUCGUGCACGCUAACACGUCAAAGAGAUCAGGGUGAAUCUGCAAAAGAAACAUUUAUUUUUUAUUUACCUUAUUUCUUGAUUUUAGGGUGGAUUGAUGGGUUGGCUUUUUCAUAAGCUGGCAACUAAGGCUCCGUUUAGCAGAGCUUGGGUGGGUCAGAAAAUAUUUUCUGACUCUCCAAAAAUAUUUUUGGAUGAAAUAGAGAUGUUUGAUUAAAAUAUCAAAAUGUUGUUUUAAUUUUAUCAGAAAGCUAAAACAACUUAUUAAGAGAAGCUCCAAAAUGGUUCAAAAAAGCACUUUUAGCAUGUAGAAUUUUUGAUUUACAAAAUUUUUCUUUUUUUAUACCAAAACACUAAUGAUAAAUAUUAUAAUUACAAAAAAUAUAUCUUUAUAUUUACUAAUAUAUAAUGAUAAUAAUUAUAAUAUUUUAUACCUUUAUUAUUAUAUUAUACUAUAAAUAUAAUAUUAUAUUACAUUAUAUCAUAAUAUAUUAAUAUGUUAUAUUAUAUGAUAUCAAAUUAUGUUAUACUAUUAUACUAUAAUAUAGCAUAUUAUAUUACUGUAAUAUUAUACUAUAUCAUAUAUUUAUGUAUUAAUACAUAUAAUAUUUUAUUAUGUUCUGUUAUAUAAUACUAUGUAAUAUUCUUUAUGGUCAUUUUAUCACACUAAAAGUACUUUCUGAGUUUGUUUAUCAAAUACAUAUUAAAGUUUCACGACACUUUAGAAAUAUGGUUACCAAACAGCAAAUAACUUUUUAUAAAAAUUCUACUUCAAAAAAUGCUACUUUCGAUAGCUCUACUGCUAAUAGCUCUCUAUCAAAUUGGGCCUAAAUCUCUUAGGCUAUUAAGCCGCAUGCUUUCUUGGGCCUACAAAACUGAGAGACCUGCGAAGUGUGAAGGAUCAAACUGCCAAAUGUCCAGCUGAAAAGCCAUUGACAUAGCAUCCAAUUGCUAAUUUGUUUUGACUACACGGCCCGUACAUUACGGUCCAUUGAGUCUGAACCCCAAUUUGUACAAUUCGCAAUCCCUUGUCUUGCAAUAAUGGAUAACGUUCUUUUUAAAGAAAUGACAAGGAAAGUUUCUCUUAUGAUGCAAUAAAAGAAAGUUAAAUGGCAAAUGUAACUUGGUGACUUUUAUUCUUACAAACAAUGAGAAUCUAAGACCAUACCCAUUAGCCAUAGCCAUGAAUCAUUAGCCCCGAAUGUAUUAUCUCUUGCCUCUAGAGACAACUAGAACGAGGCAUGCUUCAAAAGGAUUUAUAGCCCCGUUCUUCACAUUCGAAUUUAAUUAGUAGCGCGCACGAAGGGGAGCUUCUCAUAAAAUACUAGGUUGUCAAUGAAUGUUCUGAUCAUUUGUGGCAAUGGAAAUGGCGUUCUGCCUUGCGUGACAAGAGGACUGGAGCAUCUCCAUAUUGGCAGGACCUGUCUUCAUUCUAUGGCACCCACAGACAACGCUAACAAAGCCCUUGGUGGAGUAACAAGAACCAGAAGAACAUCAACUUGAUAAGGUCCCUGCCUUGGGGUUUUAUCAUUGUCAGAGCAAUUUUCAGCAGUUCGGUGGCUAUCACAAGAUGGCAGAAUCAAAUAGAUGUUUCCGCAGGGAGCAAGCUAUCAUAAUAUUCACCAACAAUAAGGAAAAGGAAAACAUAUAUAGAAUCAUGGCAAAUCCCCCGUCGUUAAGUAGCAGCCAUGGCGGACAAAGCUGCUCCACGAAAUUAUCAAAGGGGCUUCCGGGCAAGGAAGAAGUACAUCGGGGUGAAAAUUUCUUUCCUGCAUCGAUCAGUUUUAUUAUCUCACUCGUAACUGACACGAAUAAGGGGGGCAAACACCAAUACACAGGAAGAUUGGGAGCAUCCAGAAAUUACAGCAAGUAAACUGGAAAAAAACAUUUUACUUACCUUCCACCUUCCACAAGUCCUUCAGCAGCCUUUUCCAGGAAUGAUGAUACUCUGUCACUUCCCGCUGGAGCAAGACGCACAAAUUCUAGUGUCUUAACCUACAGAACACCAAAAUGAACAAUAUUUAAUGACAAGCAAAUAGAAAGAAGAGGAGGAAAGAGAAAUGGAACAAGUAGUGAUCUCAAUUACCAUAGUUCGGGUAAUGAAACGUCCAAAAGCAGUCAGUCGAAAGCUUGUUAUGGAGAAAUGCCUCGUAUCCAAGGGCAAAUACCAUGGCACAGGUGAAUCUAAUGCAAGAUCCUUCUCCCAUACGACCUGUGAGAAAGCAAUUGCAUACUAAAGUCCCACAUACCUUUAUACAGAGGAAGCAUUAAGGACCAAUAUAUGCUGUGUAAUCUUUUACCUCAAAUCCAGCAAGCCUUAAGGCUUCAAGGCAUUGCUUUGUAGUUCUUAUGUCAGGGAGACCAUUACCAAGCUCGACUUCAGCCUUAGUUUUCUGAUGACUUUCAUUUGUCGGAUCAAAGUGAUCGGUCAUGCACCACUCAUAGGCCGCAAAACACUGGCCAGGCUUCAGUGCUCUAUAAAUCUCCUUAUAGCAGCCAAGCUGGAACAAGCAAAAAGGCAUUCGGAAUAUUUGAAGAACGUAUGAGACAAUCAAAAGAUAAGCUAUUGGAAAUGUGUACACAAGCAUUUGAAUUGGCAGAUUACCACAUCUGGUGCAUGACAUGUUGCUUCUAUAGCAUAUAUCGCAUCAAAAGUGUUAUCGGGGAAUGGCAUUUUCAUGAAGUCGGCCUGCAUAUAUGAGAAGUGAAGAGUAUGGAGGACAUAAAGAUUAUCCUAAAUAUUAGCCAAGCAUACUGAAUUAUAUCUUUAUAUAAUAAUACCUCUAACUAUAGAGGUUAAAGACAUUUAGAAUUCAAAAUUAGAUCUCUAAAUGAGAGAAAUCGGCAAUAAUUUUUGCAAAAACAGACAGAUAUAUAACAGAAUACAACCCCAGAAAUAGAAAAAUAGUGAUACAAAAGAGAAGAAAAAAAAGCUACAUGUACCUUAACGAAGUUGCAAGACUCACUCAAUCCUGCUAGCUGGUUUAGCUCCUGUGGAAUGAACACUGUUAGUCGGUAAAGGUUUUCUAUCAAGUCUCAAAUGCAUGUUGAUAUUAGGAAAGACAAAUAGGUAUUAGAAUAUUAAGACGGAAAGUAUUAACAACCUUGCCUCUUGUUAUCUGGUAUUCAUUGUUGUUCAAUCCGGUAAUGGAUGCCAAGCUGCAACAGUUCAAUAUGAGAAGUUAUCAUAGCUAUUCUCUUCUUGUUUUUUUUUUCGGGUAGAAGGGAGGUAAAUUGCAUUCAUUAAUUUCUAAGAUAAGUACAUCCAUAACUAUUUGCAUUUACAAGAUGUAAUAGAUAAGCGGGAAGCCUUGUUGUGCCGUAGAACUCCAGAAUCAGCAAAUCUUUUCAAUGUGUCUAUGUUUAGUAUAAUCUUAGGACUCGUUUGGUUCGCGAGAAGAAUUUUUCCUCACUGAAAUGUUUUUUUUUGAGAAAGCUAAUGCUUGGGUAUAUGAUGCUCAGGAAAGUGAUUUUUGUAUGUUUGGUUGACCUUAGGAAAGUAGCAUAUUUUAGAGUAGCUUAUGUUUAGUUGAGUAUCUACUUUUCUGUUAAAGUUGUGUAAAAUAUCUGUUAUACCUUUAAUAAAGGAAAAGACCUUACGUCAUUCUAUCUAAAAGCUUAAGGGCACAUUUGGAAAAAAAAAAUAACCUCAAUUCCCAGCCAGUGCAAAUUAGAUUUUUCUAUGUCCCACAUGGAUUUUUCUUUCUCAUGAAAUAUGAAUCUUAUUCCAAUGGAAAUAUUACUUCCCCAUCUCUCUCCUUUAAAAACUCUAAGCAAACAUGAGGCCUUUCUCCAUUUUUUUAUUGACCACACUUUUCCCCUCCUAUUCCCGCAAACCAAACAAGUCCUUAGAGAACCUUCACCAGUUAUAUAUCAAAAGCACAGAUAAUAUGUAUAAUAUACACACAUACAUAUAUAAUAAACUCAUUCUUUUAUUUUUCUUUGCUGGUUUAGCACAGAAUUUCUUUAUAACGGCCAUGGCUGAUUAAUAGCAGGAUAUCUUCAUCUAAUCAUGACUGACAACAUAUGAAGCAAAAAGUUUAGAGAUGAAGAGGACAAUACAGGAGCAAACAAUGUAACCAUAAAAGAAUUUCCAUAAUUUUGUACCAAAAAAAUCCAUAACUAGUUUUUUUUCUUGGUGAAAAUGAUACAGCACUCAAGAGUAAACCAACAUCUGUAGAUAAACACCACGCUGAAAUUGCAAGUUAUCUGUGAUUUAGGAAAACUAGAAAAGGCUUUUAUGUCAAUAAUAUGAUUUAUUCUCCAAAAUAUAAAUCUAAAACAGACGAAAAUCUGCUCCAGAACCAUAAAAAGUUGAAAAAUAGUCCAGGUUUUGGGAAACAAGAAAAGAGCUUGCAACAUUUAAAUAUUAAUUCUACAGAAGAUCUCAAAUGAAAGACAUUGAAGGAUGAUAAAUGACUGCUAGUUUAAUCUUUUGAUCAAUAUAAGAAUAUGCUAAAACAGAGGGCAUUUUUUAUUUUUCUGACAAAAAUAGAAUAGAGCAUGGGAAUGAUAGAAGCAGUUAAGUCUAUGUGCAUAAAAUCUUACUUAUUUACUGGUUAUGUUUAAGAAUCAGUACCUCUUAACUUAUUAACGCUUAAAAAAUAUCUGUACAUGUUUUCCCUGCCAGUUGCACCGAGAAAUUCUACUCAAGAUCCUGCAUUACAACAUACAAACGUAACCUUAACAACUAAGCUUCAUCCAGAACAUGUGGAGCUUACAUCUUGAAUCAUUUUCUACCAUUUUCGUGGACCAUAUUAUCUGUCACCACCAACUUUAGACCAUUCUCACAACCAGCCAUGUUACUUUUGGUGGUUCCUCCUUCCUGACACUUUCAAUGCAAUUGGAGCUCCAGUCCUUAUUAAGGCCUCCUUGGUUCAUUAAUUAUCGCAAAAAUCAAACUAUCUCAGUUUAUUAACCCCCAUUUGAAGUCCAAGCCUCCUCUAACCCACUCAGCCCCCAAACUAUCCAUCAUAAAUUUACUUCAUAUAGGCUUCAGCAUGGCCUCUCAGCACUCAUAUGGCAUAUAUUAGGCUUCUCCCUUGGCCAACUUUGUGAACCAUAAUAUAUUGUGGGCUUUACUCCAUGAGGUCCACAGUUAGAUCUGUUGUAUAGAAAAUAACAAAGACCACUUAUCUGAAAUAAUGAAUGAACACAUCACACCACAGAAGAACCUUUCAAAUUAUCCACCUUUUUCUGAUCACAUUAGACUGCCAUUGAUUCAUCUUAGUAAUGGAUCAACAGAAAUGGUCAGAUUAUGCAAUUUUUUAGCCUUCAAUUUUCAUUUAAGCAUCAUAUCCAGUUAUAUUUACACAAAAAUUGCAUCCGCAUGCUUACCCUAACCUCAUCUUGUCGAUGAGCUUAAUGAUAGCAGUGUAACAUACCUCCCGAAAAAUGUGAGGCAUGUGACCUGUCCUAGUGCUAUCCCUGCCCAAGCAUGUUUAACAACAGAAUACUGAUAGAAUUUGCUGCUCUAAUUUUGAUAUGAUUCCUAAUUGCUUCUCUGGAAAAUGUGAUAUGAUAAUUAUGCAACAGGAUCCAAUUUAACUUUAAAAUGGAAUACAGAAAAACAACUUGCAGGAACAAAGUUGAGAAAAAAAGGUUACCUAAAUCUUGCAAUUUCCCGUAGUGGUCCACCAAUUCCACAGCCCACAUCCAAAACCUGCAUUUACAAAUAUACAGAAGCAUAUAUUACCUACAAAGCAUCUUGCCUACUAAGAUUUGCCAUGCAAGUCAUAAAAGGAAAGACAACUAAAACCUUCAUUCCCCUUUUCAAGCCUAGUUGUAGGGCAAGAAAAUGCUCGUGGCGCUUGAUGCUUUCUUUUAAUGAUUCCCCUUUCCAUCUUCAUAAACAUUAUUAAAGUAAAUAAUUAAUUCUAAGCAAUUAACAAGAAAUGAUCCAUAAACAUAGUGUAUAUUUUUUCUGAUGAAAGAUGAAUAAAUUAAAUGUCAGUAAUUAAAGUAGUGUUAACCUGGGAGCAAAAUGGAAGGACUCUCCCCAGCCAAAUUCAUAGAAGCUUGUUGCAAGAUCAUAGUACUUGUUUACCUGAAAUAUAUCAAAUAAACACCAAAAGCAUUUAGUUAGACUUUGCAAGGAUAAGGUCAAAACCACAUUGGCUGUUUCAUGCCAGAUUCACAUUCGCAGUUAUUCAAUGAUAUAGAAAAUGAGUUUAUCCUACAGGUUAUGAUGUUUUAAAAUCUUUUCAUCAGAUUACAGAAAACAAAAAUUGCUCCUAUAUUUUCAUCCAGAUUCCUUCACAAGACAAACAAGCAUCACGUCAUCAAUGCAUACUUAGUUAAUAAUUGACACUGACACGGACGCCUUUUCUAUCAAUCGGAAGUGUUGCAUAUGGUCUUUUAUCCAUAAUCAAGUAUGAAAACCUUAAAAAUGAAUCCGUUACAAUUAAUCUAUGUAUCAUUAAAAAUAAGAGCAAAAACUUGGCUUUGAAAAACAACUAAACCUAACCCUAGAAAAAGGGUCUUGUUUGGAUAUUCAACUAGAAGAGAUAUAAUUAUACAAUUUGAUGGACCAAAUUUCUCCCUUCAACUAAUCUCAAAAACUGUCAGCUAUAGCUGAUACCUGAUCACAAGUACCUUAGUAAAGAUCCAAGUCAUGACCAAGGUAUGCAAACCUAUCAUACAAUAUUUGUCCUUAUCCUGACAUAAAAAUCUGUUUAAUCAAAAUGAAAGUAUAAAUAAAAAGUAUAAAAACCAGGAUUUGAAAGUAUAAGAGUCCAUAUUAUAUUUGUACAUACAUACAGUACAUACAUACAGUACGUACAUACAUACAGUACAUACAUACAUCUACUUUUUAUUUUGUUAUGAACAAAAAUUUCUCGUCCAAAAAGUGUUCCAAAAAUUAUAACCAAACCGAAAUUGGAAUAACUCAUAGCGUAACUAUUCCCAAGGGCAUAAUUUCUGUGUUCCCAUUUUUCUUGUUCCCGAAUCAAAUGCACGCAAAACAUAGGCAUAAGUGAUAAAUGGUUAUGUCAGUCAAACUUGCUUAUAAUAGGCGUAAGUAUUUCAUAGGAGAGUUGUCAUAAACUAUUCAUGGCCAUUAAGGAAUUCUUAAUGCCCGCCUUUUACAUUUUUUUGGAUAAAAGAAUCCUCAUUCAGAAGUUAUUCCAAAACAGCAGCAAUAGUAAACAAGCCCUAAAUUUUAGAAAAUAUUUUUCACUUUUCUUGAAAAUCUACACUCUAUGGAGAAGAUGGGUGGAGUAUGUUAGAUUGAUAUAUCUAAACAUCUCCAAUCCAACCAUGUUUUUUAUUCAACGUCACAAGCUUCAUGUGUAUGGCCCUUUUACUAAUAUAAUAAUAAUAUACAUACAACCAUACAUGGCAGCAAAUUCAAGGUGGCUAUAGUUUAUUUCUUAUCUAUGGAGUCUAGAAAAGGUCACAUAAAACUGCACAAUUUAGAAACUUCAUCCUAGUAAACCGAUUUUCAACAUCACUUUAUGAACCAAGCAAGGCUCAAAUUCUUCAGAUAUUUAACUUUUUUUGCGAUAACAUGCAUUAACACCAGUAAAAACCAAAACCUCACAAAUAGAAAAGCAAAGGAGCAGCAUUCAGAAGAGAACAGGUGGCAAAUAUUUAGUUCAUGACAUUGCAAAAAGUAGCACACUGCAUCAACAAGGUAAAGCAGAUUUAUACCAAUAUUGUCCCUAGAUAGUAUGCUCCAGAUUAAAAAAUAAUAUGAGGCUUGUUAAUGGCACAAGCCAGUUCCACAGCUCGAAAUCAACUGGUUCAGUGUACUCGGCCCCAUAUUUACAGAAAGAACUUGCCUAAAUGUGUGCACUUGCAAAGUUUUAAACAAAAAAUUGUAAAAAAAAUCAGAUAAAGGAACAGUAUGAAAAGAAAACAGACAUUAUGAAAGCAAUAAUUCUGUUUCAUUAGACAAAUUUUGAUGGUUCAAUCAUCAGCCUUGGGUUGCACAAAAGAUAUUAGUAAUUUAGGCAGUCAAAACAAUGCUGAAAAAUAACUAACCUGACAUCAUAGCAAAAUACAACAUUAUUGAUUCAUCCAAAUGAGAGGACUAAAUUAGAUUGGAUGCAAAAUGGGCUGGGCAUUCUAGAAUGUUGCAGAAUACAUUAGCCAUUACAAUAACACAAAGAGCUUGCUAGUGCAUACGUCCAUUCAUGAACACAUGACAGUAAUUUCAAAUCCACGUAGAAAAUACAAGCUCAGAAUAUUUAAACUCCAAUUACUAGAGUACUUAGUGACUAGGCUCGCCAAAUUGGGCUUCAAAAACAUGAAACACAAUAAUCAUUCAUCAAGAUGUCUUAUGUAGAAAGUUCUUAGGUUUUAUUUUAGUUUUUUUUGUGUGCUUUCAAACUUUUUUGAGCAGGGAAAAUUUUUGGGGAUGGUUAACAAAUUUUUCCUGCAUAAACAACCAUAAACAAUCUCUGACAUAGGUAGGAGUUAUAUUUGAAGUGGAAUAGNNNNNNNNNNNNNNNNNNNNNNNNNNNNNNNNNNNNNNNNNNNNNNNNNNNNNNNNNNNNNNNNNNNNNNNNNNNNNNNNNNNNNNNNNNNNNNNNNNNNNNNNNNNNNNNNNNNNNNNNNNNNNNNNNNNNNNNNNNNNNNNNNNNNNNNNNNNNNNNNNNNNNNNNNNNNNNNNNNNNNNNNNNNNNNNNNNNNNNNNNNNNNNNNNNNNNNNNNNNNNAUCAUUUUAUGAACCAGGCAAGGCUCAAUUCCUUCAGAUAUUUAACUUUUUUUGAGAAAACAGGCAUAGCGAUAAGAUCACAAAUUUAACACAUGUUUUUUCCUUAAUUCUUGUUCUGUCUUUUGUUCUUCGUUUUAUAAAUUACUGUCAUAUAGAUGGUUUCAGAUUUGUCUUAUUUUGUGCACAUGAGCCAUAAAACUAGUUGCCUUGAAUUCCUCUAGUCACAAGAAUCUUAGAAUUAACUUUGGGAACCAGCUUUCCAUGUCAAUUUUUCUUCAAACUUUUAUUUCCUGCAUCAGAUCAGGCAUAUCAGAUCUCUGUUCCUCUACGGCGUCAGAUCUUAUGUCUUGCAUAAGUACCCUUCCACUUGACAACAUAGUCUUCUACAUCCUUCUUUCAAUCUUUGAUCCUAUAAGCCCAAAUACCCUUAAAGUAAUCUACUUUGCCCAUUUUAACCAUCUCUUCCCAGAACUACCCACCUACACAACUUAGGCCAGCAAGUCAACAUUCCUAUGAUCGAUACUGUCAUUCUACUAACAAAAGCCAUUCAUUACCAUAAAUAACACUCUAAACCAUGGGAUCAUAUUUUUAAUGCUAGCAACGAGUUUUAUAUAAAUGAUAAAAUGAACAUAGCUUUGUAUUGGAGUUAAAUCCAACAAUUAAACAAGAAAUAAAUAAAUAAGUUGUCUUACCAUGUCACUGUAGUUGGCUUUUCUUGUUUCCUCAUCCCCUCCAAAAUAGACAUGAUAGUUCUCAUACCUAGGAAAAGAAAAAUUAUACACAAUUAAAGAAAAAUACCAGUUUACAGAUAAUUGUGGUCAGAAAGACCUACAUAGUGAACAAAAUGUUGUAAACUCCAGGAAGAAACUUCAAUAAUCCAUCUUUUGUUCACAUCAUUUUGUUUGUGGAUUGUCAAAUCAGUAACGGCAGCCUCAAGGUUAUUUUGUUAAAAUUAUAUGGACAGCAAAGAUUCAAGCUUGUAAAGUUGAGGAAUGCAAAGACACCACUAGCAGAUUGGAAGGGCAUGUAGAAUGUGAUUAUUGUUUCACUUGUCAAACUACAUUAUUGUCUGAUAAGCCUAAAAGAAAGAAAAUUUAGGCCAGAUGCUUCAUAAGAAGUCUCUGGAACGUCAAAAGGUGGAGCAAAGAGGAAGCACUAACUGGAAGAUUCUGCAUGGACACAUGUUAUAGGCCAAAUAGCAAGGGUCAUUAUCACAAACUAUUAUUCACAAAAGCUGCAUUAAUCCUUGCGAAUAAUUAAAGAAAGGUAAUUAUUGUGCAAUAGACCACAUAAAAAAGAGGGUGAUCUGCACGACAUAAGGAAAAUUUAACUGAAUCCUUGCAAAAUUCAUCUGAAGGAUCUAUUGGAAAAAUGGGGAAAACCCCAGAAACUUCACUAGAUCAUUACUUGGACACAAUAUUAAUUUAUUAAGUAGAAUAAGAACUUUUUGCAGCAGCAGGCUGCGUUUUAGUACUCAAUCAAGUGAUAAAAGGCAAUGAUCCAAAUGAAAAAACAGAACUUUUGAAAGAUAUCCUGCCAUCAAUAGUCAUCAUUUACCCUGAAAUCUGAAUGUUGCAGCUGCUGACAAACGUUUAAUCUUUCAAACCACUGUUAGCAAAGAUCAGCAGAGCUUUUUCUUAUGUUUAAACUAGGAAAUAUUGAAGCUUUAAAUCUCGAUGCAUCUGACAAUCUUCAAAAUCUUUGUAUUGUUUCAUCAAAUAAAAAUCAUCUCCACUUUCCAUCUUUUAUUGCGUUACCAUUAUACAUCUUUUUCCUUUUUCCUUCAACGCAGUAGAUAAAUGUGAUCCGUUGUCAAAACUUAUGUGGUACAAUAUGCUCAUAACGAUAAGAUAAAAAUGAUUCAUUCCAUAACAAGAUAAUGCGAGACGGAAUAAUUUGGUGAUUGAAGCACAUGUUUCUAUCAAGAAAAGUCCAUGGCAUUAUCACAUGGAUCAAUCAUACUCAUAACUAUCUAUGUCAAGCACUAUUGAAAUAUAAUGGAAGAAAAACAGAGGGCAAGGCGAGAAACAUACUGCUCCACUGCCGAUUUAACUUCCUUCUUGUCGAUCCUUCCUCCCACACCAAAAGCAAGAUCCAGAGCUCCUGACUUCGACAUCACUGGAUCCCAGAAACACUAAAAAAAAUUAUAAGCACCAGAUCAAUUUUUUUUUAAAAAAAACUUAAUUAAAGUUCAUCCACUUUUCCAAAGUUGAAACAAAAAAAAAAGAUACAAGAAGAAUAAAGGAAAAAGGAAAAAAGCAGAGAAACCGCAUAAAGAACAAUAUAAGAUGCUAGCAAUGAAUCCAAGUGACAGAAAUUAUUCUUGAUUUUUUUUAUUUUCUUCUCUAUAACGAGAGAAAGCGAGGAGAUUAAAAAAAAAUAAUGAGAAAGGUCAAAAAAUAGUCACAUCAAAAAGCAACUGCAUUUGAAAAAGAAAAGUAGAUGAUGUUGAACAUAGAGGAAAAUAUUUUUAGAGUUUCGCUAAAAAGACAAAAUCGAACGAAAAAAGGGACAUGGAAAAAAAAUGAAUACCCAGAUCUAAAAACCAAACCCGUAUUUUCGCAAGAAAAAGCAAAUAGGAGGAAAAAGGAAGACGAAACAAAAGAUAAACAGCCAGACAUCAAACCCAAGCCAACCAUAUACUAGGAUUUUAAUUUAAAAAAAGAAAAAAAUGAAAGAAGAAACAAAAAAAUCAACAAAAUUCACGAAUAUUACAUUCUCUCGAUUCUUUCAAAAAGAAAAGGAAAAAAGAAAACUACGACGCAUACCGCAUUCCGCCUAAAUCGAAAAAAUCCGCAAAAAAACGACGAAAUAAUAGUAGACAAAGCUUUUCUUUAUAAAAAAAAACAGAAAGAUCAAGAACUAGGAGACUUGAGAAGAGAUAACGGUCUUAAAAAGAUCAGAUCGGUGAGCGAAUGGGCGAAGACGAGGCCUUACGAUUUUUAUCGCGUGCAAGACGGGACGAUGGAAUGUAAGAGGGCAAGAAAAUAAAAAUAUCAGAGGAAAGGUGAAGAUUUAAACCCAGCCAGGCUUUCUAUUUAUAGAGAGAGAAGAGAGAGGGUUCGAACGCAACUGGAGAGAGAGAGAGAGAGGAGAAGGGAUGGGGAGAAGAGCACCGCCUGAAGCCAGCCUGUUUAUUCCUGCGAGGCUCCGUCGAGCACCAAUCCGCAGUCUGCCACGUCAGCACCAAUCCCCCCGCUCCUCCGCCGUGUCGGGCCCAUCUGCGCUGGAAAGUGCAAGGGCAUCUGCUGUUUGGUGCCUCACAGCCACGCUCCCAGGCCGUCCUGCAAGGGGCCCUGAGGGCUGAGGAUGUCUACAAAUUCGAAUCACUCCCUGCUCCCGUUACACCGAGAUGCCUACAAAUUCGAAUCACUCCCUGAUCCGCUGUUUGGUGUCUCACAGCCACGCUCCCAGGCCGUUCUGCAAGGGGCCUGAGGAUGCCCACAAGUUCGAAUAACCCCCUGAUCCCGUUACACCGACCGCAACAAAACCGUCCCUGUCGUUAAUACAACAUGGAACCAUAUUUAACAAUGGAAAAAUAAUGAUGCUACUAAUCCAUGAUAAUAUUAGUAAAAAAUUACUUAUAAUCCUGCGCAGAUAUUUAUUUUUUAAAAAAAAUGAAUUAUGUAAAUGCAAGAUAAUUGUAUUGUUUUCAUGAUAUAAUGCCUAUGUUUUAAAUAUAUGUAACAUAUAAUUUUAAUUUAUUUUUACGGAAAUUAUGGUGCGGAUCAUUUUUGGGACUUCUCUUGCAUUCCAUAACAAUUUUGCUUGGCCUUCGGAAAAGAUUCAGUCCACUAGAAUGAAUGUGACCCACCACUCGAAGUAGAAGGAAAUGAAUGCGUUACCAUAUGUGAUUGCGGACACCUGUCUCGAUGGAGGGGCGACAGAGAACCAAAUAUACAAGCACACACGUACUAAUUGGCCAAGUUAUCGUGCAUAGUUUGCCCCAUAAAAUACUAUUAUCAUCGUAAAAAAUGAAUGACUAUUCAUAAUCGUCCAUCUCUCUCACUUGAUGAUAGACAUCAGGCAUUGUAUAGUAUUCUACAGUGACAUCAAACCAUCCAUGCCCAUAAAGAAUGAUUUUGGAUAUUAGCAAGAAACUCUAAUUAGACUACAAUGAUCGGCUAGAUCCAGAGAGGCACCGACAAUGUGGUGGGUGUCGCCCUUUAUUUUGAGACAUUUAGGUCGUGGUUAGUGGCAGCGUGACGUUCCAAGCCAAAUACGUUUAAAAAAGACUAACUGAGCUGCAGACUGUGUGGUCUUGUAUGUGGCCAAUCAAUGGCUCCAUGAAUUGGAGAGGGGGCGUUGUUUUUUGAUUUUUUCGGCGUAUUAAAACCCAUAGGAAUCAUUCGCUUUAGGAUGUGUUUAUCUGUUAAAUAUCUAUAAGUAGGUGAGAAGAGGGAUGAGUAAUAACCUCUGAGAAGAUGACUCGUACUGCUCUCUUGGAGUAGUUGGUGUUGGGGAAAAAAUGGAUUACCCCGAAACAUGUGAACGCAUCACCGGCACGCGAUUGGAGGCGCCCAACCUGGAGGUGCCCGACCCCGAGGCGCCCGACCUCGAGGUGCCCGACCCCGAGGUGCCCGACCUCGACAUCCCCGACCUCAAAAUGCCGAGCCGACCUCAGGAGGUCGACCUUGUCGUUCACACGUUGCGGCCACACCCUGCGGCAACCUCACCGCACCAUGCUUCGCUCGUCAGCCAUGCCGCGACAUGACCAGGGCCCAUGCCUUGAAGGACUAUCAGCAAUUAAUGCGCAUGGCCUCCACAGACCUCCGGCUUACUCAACAAUUAAUGCGCAUGGCCUCCACUGAUCUCCGGUUUACUCAACAAUUAAUGCGCGUGGUCUCCAUGGAUCUCCGGCCUUCUCAAAAUCUCAGGCCCCCCCACGGCAAUCAGUUGACUCACUUAACUGCGCCCGGUCACCCACAACAACUCAAUGGCUCCAGUCUAGCCCUCCACGGCAGCGCAUUAAUUUACAGGAUCAUGCUCAAUCAUGACGGUAACUCAUUUAAUUCGCCCAGUCGAAUCACAGGUAACCCGGUACUCCUCCUAUAAAAGGGGGAACCUCCUCCUUCAUAAAGGGGGCUCGAACUCUAAUCUCUACAUGCAAAAAUCUCUCUUUCUCCACAAAAGCCCCUUCCGACUUAACCAUCGGAGGGCCGGCGCCGGAAACCCCGGCCACCGGCUUCUUGCAGGUCCCCCGGAGGAUGCAACCCGCCGACGUACCACCACCCGCCACUCUUGCCGGAGCUCCUCCUUCUCAGCCAGUGGUCGCCCCCGGGUCCAAUUUUCAGCAACAGUUGGCGUUAGAGGAAGGGCCCGAGUCGUGGCCAUGAAGCUAAGGAGUAAGGGAGCCUCUAACGCCUUCCGGCAUCGCGUACCAAGUCUUUGACACUCAAUCCAGAACCCAUCACCAAGGCCUCCGGCGGAUCUAGUCCGCCAAGUUCAACCAGAGUAGUUCAACAAGUCCAAGCACUCACUGCGGCCGUUCAAGGAGAGCUACAAGGCCCUUAUGACACUCCAAGGAGCCACAGACGCUCUUCUCUGCAAAGCCUUCCCAACAACUCUCCGCAAGGCAGCUCGUCUUUGGUUCUCCGGACUAAAGCCCAGCUCGAUUCUCUCAUUUGAACAGCUGGGCAGGCAGCUCGCAACCUAUUUUGCCGCUAGCCGGCGUCAGCGUCGGACCUCAGACUCCUUCGCCAUCAAGCAGAAGGAGGGAGAAUCCUUAAAGACUACAUCAGUCGCUUUACCUCGGCCACAUGGGAGGUUCGCGAUCUCGACCAAUCAAUCGCCAUAUCGGCAUUAAAGACUAGAGCUCGGUCCUACACAUUUCUCUUCUCCAUCGAGAAGAGCUUCCCCACCGACUUUGUUGAAAUGUUGGCCCGAGCUCGCAAGUAUGCCAAGGUUGAGGAAGCCAUAGCCUCUCGGCGGAAGAUAGCCGAACGAUCUACCAAGAUGCAGAAGACGCGCCACGAGGAGCGCUCCCAACCAAGCAGCAGAUCCCCCUGGCAUGAGAAAGAGCCUCCUUGGCCCAAGAGCCUAGCUCAUUCGAGGUCUCCACUCCAAAAGUUUCAGGCAUACACUCCCCUCACAUCCACCCGAGCAGAUAUCCUCAUGGAGAUUGAGGGUCAGGGCUACCUCCGACCUCUAUUGAGGAUGCGACCGACAGAGUCGCAGAAGACUCGAAAAAGUACUGCCACUUCCACCGAGAUCGCGGCCAUGACACGGAGGAUUGCUACAAGCUUCGUGAUGAGAUCGAGGCAUUUAUCCGCCGAGGUCAGUUGAGUUGUUUUGUCCGUGAUCAUGCCUACAGGAAAGAGCCUGAGGAACAAAACCCAAUGCCGCGUGAGGAGCGGGACGACAACUGAUCUCUUGCGGGCAUCAACAAUAUCAUUAGAAGGCAGGCGAGUAGAGAUGCCUGAAGCAUCGAGCUCGGAAGAAGGAGCUUCCUCAAAGCAUCCGUGCACUGUGAAAGUCAUCUCUUUUUCUGAUGAAGACCAAAAGGGUGUUGAGCCCUCUUUAUGACGACGCUGUAGCUAUUUCCUUCAAGGCUUUAAAAAGGAUUUUAGUGCAUAAUGAAAGCUCAUUAUGCACUCCAAGAGCUGAGCUCUUGGAGUAGUUGGAUUUAUCUCUAAGACGGUAAGAGAAGGAUGACGAAUAAUUUUUGAGAAGAUGGUAAUAUGAACCAAACACAUGCAUCCAGGCAGAUCCCAGCGGACACACCAUCUAAUGAAUCUUUCUUUGACUACAUGAUAGUUUUGACCCCAUGCCCUUUAUCUGUUUUACACGAAUUAGAAUAACACAAGCGCAAGCUUGUUAAUUAAUUAGCCCGGUAACCGAGCAUCGUGAUUUGUGCCCAAUACAUGAUGUUUUCAUGUGAUGGUGCCCGCGGUGACACAUAAAAUGGCUUCUAGCCCAGCUCCGUCCAAGAUAUUAAAUGGUGAUAACGUCCUCCUUUAUGGUCCCCGUUGCCCAAUGGUUGGCUCUCCAUGCGGAUAGUACUGGACAGCGAAUGUUGGGUCCUACAUACGUGCAUCAAACUAAGGUUGCCUAAAGGGAGGAAUCAACAGCUGAGAAUGACGAGCAAUUGGUUUGGAGGUAUAGUUCUUUAUCGAACUUCGAUAAUUCUAGGAAUUAACCAUUCCAGGCUGCCAAAAACCGAAGACUAGGUUGGACCUGCACACAUAACGCCACUACGCAUGGGAUGCACGCCACCGUUCAUCACAUGGCACCACCAGUACCGGUGCAUGUGUCUACAGUAUUACAUUAAUUUUAGGAUUAGUAAAAUAUGAUCCCAUCUGUGUUCGAUUUGCCAUAUACAUAUAUGUGUUUGGCUUAAAAGGAUACGGAUUGUGAUCCGAUUAAUCUAUUUAAUAUUUGGGUUGGAUUUAAAUUUUAGCCACUUAAUAUGUUUAACUUGUUUAAUUAUCGAGUCAUAUCGAAAAAUUAAAUAACUCAUUUAUAUAGUAUUUAAAUGGUGGGGGUUGGGCGCUUGGUCCGGACCUCUCGCCUCCUACCUCUCGAUUCCGUCUCCUGCUCUUUUGAAUCUCAGCUCCCAACUCUGAAAUAAAGGUAAAAUAGUUGAAGCAUAUUAAUAUUUUUUUUUAAAAAAAAAUGAAAGCUACUAAACAAAAUUAACGACCAGUCAAAUCUCCAAACAAUCAGUGUGCUUCGUUACGGCUCUGCACGAUCUCAACAUGUACAAAAAGGAAUAUCAUAAUUGUCCUGAUCAGCAAAUAAGGAGAGCGCCCAAUCACAACGCCCUGUAAAGGGAUAUUAUAACUACCCCAAUCAGCAAAUAAAAAAAGAGUUUAAUUGCUUGUCAACAAAUCACAUGAUCCUAACCAUGCAAAUUCUCACCCUCUUCUCUAUAAAUAUGAGGCAUGGAAACUCCCUAGGUAUGAUGAGAAACCUUAACACUAUAUUUCCAUACUUCUAUCUGUCUUUCAUCUAUCAUGAGACUCUGCCCGACUUAAGCAUCGGAGGAGCUCCAACUGGAUACAUUUUGGCGACCCCUGAUCGUUUUCUGCGAUUGCAGAUCAGCUCCAACACCGUACAACGCUUCUCCAACCCAAUCAAGAAAAGCAACCUCAACCAUCAUCUCGUCCCCUCAUCAAGUUGAAUUUUGAGCAGCAAAAGGAAUUUUGGACGACAUAUAAUAGGGUCUCCCAAUAGGAGAAAAUGUUAUAUGCUGACUAUACCUUCUUUUUUUUUUAUUGCAAAUUCUCUGCAAUCUUAAUUGCAGAAAAUUAGUAUAACAAGAUAUAUGAGAAAAAGAAGCAAUAUUUGGAGUUGAAGCAAAUUAGUAUGUUUUUCUUUUAUUGCAAAUCCUCUGCAAUCUUAAUUGCAGAACAUUAGGAUAACGAGACAAAUGACAGAAAGAAGCAAUAAAAGUCCUUAGGGAUAAGUUACCAAGCAACUACGCUAAGAGUUAUUGACAUCUUUCAAAUUACCAAGCCUGAUCAUUUUGAAUGAAAAAAAUGUCUCCCUCCAUUCUUCUUUUUUUUUCCUUUUUCCCACUAAAAUUCAUCAAGAACUCAAGUUGUACGAAACACUGGGUUAUAUAUAAACCAGCAGCCACCUUAUUUUACCAAGGUGGUUUGUUCGAGCACCAUCUAGAAAACAAAGAAAGUUUGUGAGGGAAAUGAAAACAAUAAAGCACCAGCAACAAGGAAAUUAAUCAUGCACAGAAGAAGAAGAGUCUGGCUUUGCCGAACUUCCUCACAUGCAUCCAGCUGGUGGAAUCACAAGGUUCAUUGGUUUAAGAUAUGUACGGAGCAAGGUGGCUUAAAUAUGGGAUCUUGUUGCUUUGUUACAUUCCAUAGGGGCUGGCUGGGUGGAAGAGAGGAGGAAAGGAUGACACCAAGGCAUUAGAGACCAGGGAGCUAGGGUGAUCGUGGUUGGAGGACGAAGAAUAUUUGACACUUUGGUUUUUGGUGCCGAGAUCAGAACAGCAUCGAAGGGAGUUAGUCACCUAUGCGAGGUGGGAUAUUGGGGGCUGACUUUAUCUCUUUAUUGAGUGUGGUCUCUAUGAGGCUACACAUGUUUGUAGGAAAGCGAAUAGCACGGCUGAUUGGGUAGCUUCAUUCGCAGCCCACCAUGCUAGAGGCUUCAUCUGGGCUAAUCAUGUACCGGUGCCUCAUGCUUUGGGUUAUCUUUUUUUCUUCUAAUUUAGCUGGCUGCUCUUACGCCUGACAUGAGUGAUGAAUAGCGUUAGUAACCAAAAAAAAAAAAAAGAAAAAGAAAAGAAAAAAAGGGGAGAAGGAAGGACUGACAGCGAGGCAAAGCAAGCAGCUAGUCAUUGGCCUCCGGAAAAAAAAGGCACGUGCACCCAUGUCUCACCCGGCGCUGGUGCAACGAGUGCAGGUCUGUCCUACAUGUAGAAAGAGAACAAAACCUAGUAUAGAAAUCCAAAGGGACGGAAACAGACGUAGUUUGGGGUCCCUAGCUGAUGCAGACGGGCAGGCACGUGGAAAGAAGGCCAUGCAGCAACCGGCCACAGUGUCCUUAUGGAUAGAGGUGAAGGAUUUUGAGCUCUAGUAGCUGACCUUUUGCUCCCAUUGGGGAUCUAAUUCUACAAGAAAUUAUUGGAUAGGCAUGGCUUGCCAGCUCGGCGGUAGAUUGGGCCAAUAGCAGCCAGCCAUGUGCAACAUGUCUCGAUGCUUCCCCAAUAUAGAAAAAAUGCAACCAUAAAAUCAGAAAAUAAAAUAUUGAAAAUUUUUGAAAAAAUAUUUGUCCGUGAUAUACAUAGAAUAGAUCCAAUCUGCAGUGCUAUUAGUCUCUUUAUAAAUAUGUGUAAUUUCAAAGGAUUAUAGAGAUGCCCUGAUUUUACACCAAUAUGUGAAGGUGCAUGCUUUUAGGAUUGGUGCUCUAAAAACUCCAAAGGAAUACUCUAAUCACUUUUUCCCUCUCUCUCCUAUCUUCUAUUGAAAGAAUAUGCAUCACAUAUAUUAGACGCCAGCAAUUUUUAUGGCUGAAAAGAUGAUCAAUUGGAGAAUUUUUAACAUCACUGAAAUAUGUAGACAACUAAGAUACCAAUAUAUCAGGUGAUACAAUAAUGAUGGGACAUUCUAUACUUCAUAAAUAUGAUUGUUCGUAUUUUAGCUCCAUUUUCCAUCUCUCUCAUGAUUUUUAUGUAUUUUCAAAAUAUAUUUUCAUUUUAAUGUCCCAUAAGAAAUCUUUGUGAGAAGUUUUCUAUUCUCUUUACCACAAGAGGUUGGCCGGCCCAUAGCUUUCUUUGCUCAAUAGUAUCCAUGUGUGGGCUAGUUGGCUCCCUGCUUGUAUCUAAUAUGAUACAAAUUUUCACCCACCAAAGUAAUUUAAAAGUUACGCAUCACUAAUAUAACUUUUUUUUGGUAAAUUUUGUCUGUUAUUGCACCAUUAAUUGGUUUUUGAGCCCCAAAUUCUAAUAUCGUUUACUUUGGAGAACCAUUAACAAUCGAGUUAAAGCCAUACUUAGUUUGUAAUACCUAUGGAGAUGGUAUGCUAGAGAAUUUUUAAGUUCUAACAUGAUUAGCAAAUCCGUUGUUCUGUAUUUAAUCUAUGGAGAUAUUGAAAUACACAUAAAUGAGAUAAUCUAUAUAUAUAUUUCAAACUUUAGGGACAAUUUUAGACCAUACAAGAGACUACAAAAAUCCUAGCCAUCAUAUUAAUUAGUGUGACACCAUCCAAUAAGCUUAGUAUGUUAACUUAUGUAAAUCAAUAAUAAGAGAUAAUAUUUUAUCACUUAUCAAUCGAAAAAAAUGAAAAUAUAAAAAUAUGAAAGUUUAAAAUAUUGCUACUUCAUCGGCCAAGAUGAAAGCCAAAGAGUUGUGCCCAAGGUACCAAACUUGUCCAUAUUAAUAAAACAGCUGGAUCCUUCCCCUCUCUUCCUUUUUUUUUCUUCUAAAGGACAAUUCUUUGGGUCAAUGCUAACUAAUAUAUUUCAAGGUAUCGAUCGAUAUAAUAUAAUACGUCAACAAGAAAUUCUAGAUGCUCAUGAUACUUUUUGUCACCUUAUUAUUGACUUCAUAACCAUAGAAAUUUACAAAUACACAAAACAACAAUUAACUUUAUUUUUGUCACUCAUUGGCUAAUAUUUUAGUAUUUUAGGUGUCAUGUCUGUGGAUGAGAUAUCCAGGACAUGCUGAAGCUUAUAUUAGUACAGGCUGCGUCGUGAUUAUGGAAACUAUGCCCAAUUAAAUUUAGGCUUGAGGGCGAGAAAUCCAAAGCCGGUCAACUUGGACGACUUAGUCGGCAAUCGAGAUAUUUCAUUAAAACAACUUCUUAAAAUCUUUUUUUUGUGGUUUUUUAAAGCGUUGGAUACAUAGCUUUUGACUAAUAGAGAAGGAUCGGCCUCUGUUUGGCCGAUUUUAAGGUUCAUAAUACUCUUUUUAGGCCCUGUUUGGGGGAGCUUUUGGAGGGCCAGAAAGCACUUUCUGGCCCUCCAAAAGUACUUUUAGAUGAAAAACUGUGUUUGGUAAAUUUUUCAAAAAGCUGUUUCAGCUUUUGCGGGAAGCUGAAAACAGCUUUUGGGAGGAAGCUGUUUCAGCUUUUUCGAAGAACUAUAUUUUUGACAAAAAUGCCCAUAUUAAAAUAACAUAAUUACAUAGUUUAUCCCUGGAUGAACCUAAAAAUCUGCUAGAGUCAAGAACCCAAGCCGNNNNNNNNNNNNNNNNNNNNNNNNNNNNNNNNNNNNNNNNNNNNNNNNNNNNNNNNNNNNNNNNNNNNNNNNNNNNNNNNNNNNNNNNNNNNNNNNNNNNNNNNNNNNNNNNNNNNNNNNNNNNNNNNNNNNNNNNNNNNNNNNNNNNNNNNNNNNNNNNNNNNNNNNNNNNNNNNNNNNNNNNNNNNNNNNNNNNNNNNNNNNNNNNNNNNNNNNNNNNNNNNNNNNNNNNNNNNNNNNNNNNNNNNNNNNNNNNNNNNNNNNNNNNNNNNNNNNNNNNNNNNNNNNNNNNNNNNNNNNNNNNNNNNNNNNNNNNNNNNNNNNNNNNNNNNNNNNNNNNNNNNNNNNNNNNNNNNNNNNNNNNNNNNNNNNNNNNNNNNNNNNNNNNNNNNNNNNNNNNNNNNNNNNNNNNNNNNNNNNNNNNNNNNNNNNNNNNNNNNNNNNNNNNNNNNNNNNNNNNNNNNNNNNNNNNNNNNNNNNNNNNNNNNNNNNNNNNNNNNNNNNNNNNNNNNNNNNNNNNNNNNNNNNNNNNNNNNNNNNNNNNNNNNNNNNNNNNNNNNNNNNNNNNNNNNNNNNNNNNNNNNNNNNNNNNNNNNNNNNNNNNNNNNNNNNNNNNNNNNNNNNNNNNNNNNNNNNNNNNNNNNNNNNNNNNNNNNNNNNNNNNNNNNNNNNNNNNNNNNNNNNNNNNNNNNNNNNNNNNNNNNNNNNNNNNNNNNNNNNNNNNNNNNNNNNNNNNNNNNNNNNNNNNNNNNNNNNNNNNNNNNNNNNNNNNNNNNNNNNNNNNNNNNNNNNNNNNNNNNNNNNNNNNNNNNNNNNNNNNNNNNNNNNNNNNNNNNNNNNNNNNNNNNNNNNNNNNNNNNNNNNNNNNNNNNNNNNNNNNNNNNNNNNNNNNNNNNNNNNNNNNNNNNNNNNNNNNNNNNNNNNNNNNNNNNNNNNNNNNNNNNNNNNNNNNNNNNNNNNNNNNNNNNNNNNNNNNNNNNNNNNNNNNNNNNNNNNNNNNNNNNNNNNNNNNNNNNNNNNNNNNNNNNNNNNNNNNNNNNNNNNNNNNNNNNNNNNNNNNNNNNNNNNNNNNNNNNNNNNNNNNNNNNNNNNNNNNNNNNNNNNNNNNNNNNNNNNNNNNNNNNNNNNNNNNNNNNNNNNNNNNNNNNNNNNNNNNNNNNNNNNNNNNNNNNNNNNNNNNNNNNNNNNNNNNNNNNNNNNNNNNNNNNNNNNNNNNNNNNNNNNNNNNNNNNNNNNNNNNNNNNNNNNNNNNNNNNNNNNNNNNNNNNNNNNNNNNNNNNNNNNNNNNNNNNNNNNNNNNNNNNNNNNNNNNNNNNNNNNNNNNNNNNNNNNNNNNNNNNNNNNNNNNNNNNNNNNNNNNNNNNNNNNNNNNNNNNNNNNNNNNNNNNNNNNNNNNNNNNNNNNNNNNNNNNNNNNNNNNNNNNNNNNNNNNNNNNNNNNNNNNNNNNNNNNNNNNNNNNNNNNNNNNNNNNNNNNNNNNNNNNNNNNNNNNNNNNNNNNNNNNNNNNNNNNNNNNNNNNNNNNNCCCCCAAACAGGGCCUUAAUGUCACAAAUAUGGGAGUGCACACCUUGUCAAGACUUUGGGCUUCUCUCCACAUGUGGGAGUUCAUGUUAAACUCUUUUUAUUUCUAUUUUUUCUUAAAAAAAGAAAACUUAGCUAAAAUGUUAAACUUGAAAGUCCAUGGGUCCAUUCUUUACAAACAAAUUACGGUGUCAAUAAUUUACAGGAAGACCGUAGAUUGGGUGGCCUCAUAUGGUCAUAUGCAGCCAAUCACUCCAAAGAUGCCCUGUGAGUCAAAAAGGGGAGCUACUUAGAACGCUUUGGGAUGUGUUGUUUUCUGAUCUUUUAGAUAUUUUUGUACUAAAUUGUAUGGAUCAUUUAUCUUAGCAAUUUUUUUUUUUUUUUAACACUUGAACUAAAACAAUCUAUGGAGCAGGUCAAGCCUUACUUUGCUCAUAGUCAUGGACAACAUUGUGGAGGCCAGUGUGGCUCCUGCUGCAUAAUUGAACCUGAGACUAUUCUUUAUGAGUAUAACAAAGUCACAUUCAUUGAAUUCGUAGUACAUGGAAUGGAUUCAAUGCAAUGGUUGCUUGGUACUUGAUGGGAAGACAUAAAUGACCAUUAAAGCUCGCGGAUCUCGCUAAUCUCACCUCUCAAUGGGAAGAUCCUUUGGUGCGGAGUAUCACAUGCCCAUAUAGAAGAUAGUCGUCCUUAUCUUAAGAUGAUCACAUGAAAACUGAGACAGGAGAGCAGGAGUAUAGUUUUCAGAAAUCUUGCCUGUCAUAUGUAUGAACGCAAGCUGAUUGGCUCAUCCUUGGAUAAAUAAAUAACAGAAAGGAUAGUAGAAUCCACACAAAGUUUGACACUUUCUCAAUGCAAGAACGAAUUAUAUCUUGCUAGGAUCAAGUUCAAAAUAUAGAUUGUUCAAACAGAAAUUUCAGCUAUUUUCAAAAAACUACAACUCAGUAAAAUAUAUAGUCAAAUGAAAAGAACUACCGAAGUGGAAAUGAAAAAGAAAGCUAUCUUCAAGCAAAAAAUAUAAAUUGCAUUAUUUUAGGAUCUAUUUGAUAUUGUUCUUAUUUUUGUGUUUUUGUUUUUUUGUAACUUAGUGAAAUACUACAAGAAGAUUGAUGUUGAAGAGAGCACCUGCACAAAAUUUCAGCUGUUUCUUACUCUUUUUUUUUCCUCUUUGAAAUUAAAAAAAAACUUUUUCCAUCAGAAAAUCUCUAAAAAUUUUACCAGCAUUUUAAAAACAAUACAAUUUCAUCAUAAAUAUUAUUGUCCAGUCUAUUCAUAUUCUUCUUGGGUUUUUGAAAACAAAAACAGGGCCUUAGCAUCGCCACCACACGAUUAAGUAUUAAAAAAGAAAAAAUAUAUAUAUACCGCAUUAGAACCACAUUAGACUUUAACAAAAGACUAGCUAUUAAAAGCUUCAGACUUGGAACAAUACUUGCAUCGUUACAUGGUUACAUCGUUACAUCGUUACUUGCAUCAUUGGCCCAUGAGGACCAGCUGAUCCGCAGAAUUCCCGACAUGGCAGGCCGGAUAAGGCCCAGCUUUUAUGGCACAAACAAAUCUCAAACUCGGACGAAACCAAGUCAAACA
rnacentral:lncRNA from 1 species